GUGGACACAACAUCUUUAUUUUUAUGUGGUGCUGAGGAUCGAACCCAGUGCCCCACGCAUGCCAGGUGAGUGUGUUACUGCUUGAGCCACAUCCCCAGCCCCGAAUCUUUUGUAUUAGUUUUUUUUUUUAAAAGAAGAAUUUUUUUGUGUGUGUUAGAGAUCGACUUGGCCCUUGUGUUGUGCAGUUAGGCAAGCUUUUUACCACUGAACUACAUUCCCAGCCCAAGGAAAAUUAAAAAAAAAAAAAAAAAAAGCUGUUAUUCAUGUUAGCUUUUCAUCUUGCUUCUAAAGGUAGGGUGGAAAACUGGAAAUAGAAAUGUCUAGGUAACAGAGCAGCCCAAAGGGAAAAGUUCUAUGUGUUUGAGAGUACUUGUUUGUACCCUUAAUGUUUGUAAACUCGAAAUUGUUAAGAGGUUGUAAAAGUUACUGGGUCUCAUGUGCAUGCUAGUUAUAAUUAUUUUACCUUGUAUAUAUAUAGCUUUUCUUAUAUAAAAGUCUUUAAGUUGGAGAAUAUUUGCUAUAUGUAUAUUUCACGAUUGUUUUUUGAUAUUUGCCUGACUUUGGCCUUUGAUUUCUUUCUUAGAAAUGACUGCUGUUCACACAGGCAACAUAAACUUCAAAUGGGACCCCAAAAGUCUAGAGAUCAGGACUUUGGCAGUUGAAAGACUAUUGGAGCCUCUUGUUACACAGGUAAGAAUCUGAAAACACAAAUACAUAGUUGUAGCAUGGUUCUAUAGCAGUAGGCUUGAGUAGACCAAGGUUAUUUCUUUCAAAGUCUUAAUAUGAUUGGUUGAAUUUAGUGUGAUAGUUUUUAUAUGAUUUGGCUCAUCUAAUAAUUGAAUAUUGAUACAGAGAUUUAUUUAAUUCGUUGGAACACAUUGCUACAAUUUUCUUGAGUCAUAUUGCCAAUAGUGGAGGCUGUUGGUAUAUAGAGCAGAUUUUUAGAUAUUGGCACUUUGAGAGAACUUCACCCUUCCUUAAAGGGGAAACUCAAGGAAGUUGUGAUAUGGAUCCUUGUUAAGGUUCCUUACUCAGCUUAAUGCCCUUUGUUUUCUUUUUUUUAAAAAAAAAUUUUUUUUAGUUGUAGAUGGACACAAUACCUUUAUUUUAUCCAUCUAUCUAUCUAUCUAUCUAUCUAUCUAUCUAUCUAUCUUUAUGUGAUGCUGAGGAUCGAACUCAGUGCCUCACACAUGCCAGACGAGUGUACUACCACUGAGCCAUAACCCUAACCCCCAGCUUAAUGCCCUUUCAUUGUGUAGGAUUAAUUAGCAGGUAAUUGAAUUUGAGGGCAUAGUUUUGGGUAUUCUGUUACAAAUACAUGUAUCAUAAUGUGAUGGCAUUUAUCAAUUGUCAGUAAUUAGCUAUGCGCUUUUAGUAUUUUGGUAUAGUUUACAUGUAUGUGUGAGAGAAUAUGAGAUAUAUCAAGUAAGUAGCAUUUGACAAUCUUUUAAAAAAAAUUCUAUUCCAACUUACAGAUGUAAACUAGUAUUUUAUAUAUCUCUAUAUAGGAGUGUAUGGUAAGAGUGGAAUAUUUACUCUCUGGACCCCGUGUACUAUAGCCGUCUUUUGUUUGGCAGAUUUACACUAUAACAAAUCAUUAAUCAUUUCAUCCUACGGAUCAUAAGGUAUUAUACAUAUUAAUACUGAUUAGUAUUCUGGGACUUAAAGCAUCAUCACAGUAGGCUUCUAUGGGUAGUCACUCUUCUUUUUAAUGACCUUUACUAAUUAAUUGCUAAGAUUUGUGAGAAUAAACUGAACAAAGACUUCAGAAGCAAAUUAUCUUAAAAAUGUUUUGUAAACAUUGAUAACAAUGACAAAAUGUGGCUUUCUGGUGAAAUUCAUUGUCAACUUAUUUAUUUAUUUAUUUGUGAUGCUGGGGAUUGAACCCAGGGUCUUGUGCAUGUUAGGCAAGCAAUCUUCGAAAUGAGCUAUAUUCCCAGCCCUCAUAUUGUUAAUCUUUCUAGAACUUCAUGGUGACAUAGAAGAGAGAUAUCUUAACUUAUUUCUUCUUUCUUUUUUUUUUUUGUUUUGCUUACAAACAAAACUUUUUUGAAAAAACACCAAAAUUGGAGAUCAAACAUAAUUACAUUAUCUUGGUAGGGUAACUAGAAAUACUGAACUUAUAAGGCUUUUGUGAGAAAACACAAAUUCAGGAAGUUGUACGUCAUUAACAGUUUCUUCUUCUAAAUGAACAACCUUCUGUGAGUUUGGCCUUUCCUCUUAUAGGCUGGUACAACAGUGUCAAACAACCUACACAAAGAACCGCUGAGCAUGGCUGAGAACUGUGGAAAUCUUGUUGCAACCUGAACAUUUUACAUACAUAAAAUAAGAAUUUGGACUUUGAACUAGUCAUUUCUUAUGUUUUUUUAUUUUCCAAGGAAGGAUUAAACAGAUCUCUAGCCAAUCAGCAGAGACAAUGAUUCAGAAGUUAAAGUUAUUUUUAAAUAAUACCAUUUUCAUCAAUAUUCCGUGUUCCCAAGUUCCUAAUUUGUAAAGUCAAAAUAUUUUUUAUUGCUGGGUAUGGUGGUGUAAGCCUCUGUUUCUAGCGACUUGGGAGGCUAAGGUUCCUUACUCAGCCUUUAAAGCCAGCCUCAGCAACUUAGUGAAGCACUUAGUAACUCAACUGUCUCUAAAUAAAACAAAAAAGGGCUGCUGGGGAUGUGGCUCAGUGGUUAAGCGCCUCUGGGUUCAAUCACUGGUACCUCUACACACACGUUUAUAUUUAUAUUUGUAUAUUAUCUUACACAUUAAGGAAGCUAAGUUAUUUUGAAACCUAAGUUUAGUAUCAUUGCUUUAUAUCUUAAAUAUGGUAAGAGUUGUUAUUUAAUGCUUACUGCAAUGUUUCCUUAUGAAUAAUUUACUGAUGCUAUCUUUUAGGUUGUUAGUCUUUCUUUUGUUUUCAUUUUAGAUGACUGCGAUUUAAUUAAUUUUUAAAAUGAAACCUUUAGGUUACAACCCUGGUAAACACCAACAGUAAGGGACCCUCUAAUAAAAAGAGAGGUCGUUCUAAGAAGGCCCACGUUUUGGCUGCAUCUGUUGAACAAGCAACUGAGAAUUUCUUGGAGAAGGGGGAUAAAAUUGCAAAGGAGAGUCAGUUUCUCAAGGAGGAGCUUGUGGCUGCUGUAGAAGAUGUUCGAAAGCAAGGUAGGUCAAUAUUUUUUUUUUAUAUAGAGGCAAGCCUUUAUAGAAAAUUGGUCGUACUCCCCCCCGCCCCCCGAAUGCAAUCCAGGACCUUGUAUAUGCUAGGUAAUAACCCUGCCACUGGGUUACAUCCCCAGGUUCUGCAAAAGCCAUCUUUGGAGGAAAUUUUGUGUGGUCAGUAGUCAGUGCUUGCUACUUAAUUAUUCAGUAACUUAUAAUAUUUAUUUGAGUUGUCUAAUUAAUUGUACAGGUGCAUAUUUUAAUCAGAAGAUAUGCUUACAUUAAAAUGUCUUUUUGGAGAGUCUGAAUCUACUUCUCUUGGGUGUUUCAAGAAUUAGUUAAGUCACAGAAAUGUUAUUGCACAAUUCUAAAGGGUAUAAAAGUGACAGAAGUUUUAUCUUUCUUCUUGUGAUACCUCUUCUUAAUUCAUAGUAAUGAUAUUGGAUAAUGUGAAACAUUUAGCUUGAUAAUAUUCAUUACUCUAAAAAUACCCUAGAAAUUUGUCCUGUACUUUCACACUAGUAUGUUAAAUCAUCUAUGCAUAUUUGUACUGGUUUGUGUUUGACAUAAAUAUAUCUGGGCAUAAAGAAAAAUAAAAUUAUGGCAUUUGCUGGCAAAUGGAUGGAACUGGAAACUAUCAUGCUAAGUGAAAUAGUCCAAUUCCAAAAAACCAAAGCUAAAUGUUCUCUCUGAUAUACAGAGGGAAGAAUAUAAAUUCAUUGGAUUAGACAAAGGGUUAGGGAGAUGGCAUAGGAAAGACAGAAGAAUGAAUCGGACGUAACUUUCCUAUGUUCAUAUUGAAUACAUGACCAGUAUAACUCCACAUCAUGUACAACCACAAGAAUGGGAAGUUAUAUCCCAUGUAUGUAUGUCAGAAUACAUUCUACUGUCAUGUACAACUAAAAAGAACAAAUAAAAAAAUUAUAUUAACUCAUUUAAAAAAAUAUCUUGGCUUACAUGAAUCAUGUUUUUGUCAACUCAAAAUUGAAUAGGUAAAAUGGUAAGUUAAUCCACACCUUACCAGUAAUUAUUAUUAGAAAAAUUAUCAUUGUUACACUGUAAAUUUGAAAAGAAGACUUUAAAUCUGGAAGAUAAUUUUUUUUUUUUUUUUUGGGUGCAGUACAGAGGGUUGGACAUAGGACCUUGCACAUGCUAAGCAAGGGCUCUGCCAUUAGCCACAUCCCCAGUCCUUUUUAUUUUACUUUGAGACUGGGUCUCAGUAAAUUGUCUUGACUGCCCUUGAACUUUCUAUCCUACUUUUAGUUUUCAUAGUAGCAAGGAUAAUAAGCAUAUACCACUAUGCCCUACUGAGGGUAAACUUAUUGAAAUCUGUAGUUCUGUGUUAGACCUGUGUUCUAGUAGGAGCAAUUCAACAAAGAUGUAAGUUUUGUAGGCCAUUGGAUAUCAGCUAAGGUGAAUUGAGCCUCUAAUAUGGACAGUGCUUUACUGGCCUUUAGGAGGACUUCACUUCUGGUACCCUAAAUAGCAAAGUACAUAGGCCACUGGAGUCUAAGUCAAAUUCAUCCUUGUGACAGUACCCAAAAGGAGGAGUAUCUUUGAUAGAGAUGACAUUUCCAGUUGUUCUGAAUUUGUGAACUAAAAACCUUAUUUGGGGGCUGGGGUUGUGGCUCAGUGGUAGAGCACUCGCCAUGCAUGUGUGAAGCCUUGGAUUUCAUACCCAGCACCACAUAAAAAUAAAUAAAUUAAAUAAAGGUAUCAUGUCUAUCUAGAACUAAAAUCUAUCUAUCUAUCUAUCUAUCUAUGUAUCUAUCUAUCUUAUUUGGUGAAUAUUUCAGUUUCAGGCUGAAGAUAAAUAUCUCUAAUACUAAAAAUAAUGAAAUUAUUAAAAUUUUUAAUAUGAGUGGGGUGGCUAUAUUAGUUUCCUAGGCCUGCCAGAAUAUAAAUUAUUAUAAAUUUGAUGGCUUAUAACAAUAGAAACUUAUUCUUCCGUAAUUCUAGAGGUAAAAAAUAUGAAAUUAGGGACUGGGGUUGUGGCUCAGAGGUAGAGCACUCGCCUUGUGCGUGUGAGAUCUGGGUUCCAUCCUCAGCACCACCUAAAAAUAAAUAAAUAAAUGUAUUGUGUCCAACUACAGCUAAAAAAUAAAUAUUUUUUUAAAAAGAGGGUGGCUGGGGUUGUGGCUCAACGGUAGAGCACUAGCCUAGUAUGUGUGAGGCCCUGGGUUCGAUCCUCAGCACCACAUAAAAAUAAAUAAAUAAAGGUAUUGUGUCCAACUAUAAAAGUAAAAUAUUAAAAAAAAAUAUGAGGGCUGGGAAUAUAGCUCAGUUGGUAGAGUGCUUGCCUUGCAUGCACAAGGCCCUAGGUUCAAUUCCCAACACUGACCCCCCCCCCCAAAAAAAAAUAUAUAUAUAUCUAUAUAUAUGAAAUUGUAGUUUUGGCAGGCUUGGUUCCUUCUUGGGGUUCAGGAAGAAUCUACUCCAUGCCUUUCUCCUGGCUUCUUUUAUAUUUUUGCAGAUUGGGAAUUGAACCCAGGGGCACUUUACCACUGUGCUACAUUUCUAGUCCUUUUUAUUUUUUUAGAUAGGGUCUUGUGAUCUUGAACUUGGUGAUUCUUCUCUCUAAACCUCCAAUCACUGGGAUUUCAGGCAUGUGCCUCCACACUGUGCUGUUCUUGCUUCUUGGGUUACUAGGAGUUGGAGAAAAGGCACUCCAAUCUCUGUUUUUUGUCACAUACCAUACUGUUUUUCUUGUGUAUCUCUGUGUCCAUAUUUCCCUUUCCUUCUAAGAGCAUCAUCAGUCAUUGAGUUAGGGCUUUCAUCCUAAUCUAGUGUGACCUCAUCUUAACUUGAUAACCAUCUGCAAAAACUCUAAUUUAAAGUUCACAUUCUAAAUAAGUUCACAUUCUAAAUAAGUUCACAUUUACAGGUUCUGGGUGGAUAUGAAUUUCUAGCCUAGUACAAGGAUUCGAAUUUGUUUUAAAGCAGUGCUUUUUAUCUUCCCUUUUGUAUUCUAGGCAAGUAUCCGGUCUGUAUCCCCAGCCCCUUAGCAGUUUAAUGUCCAGUUUAGGAACAUUUUGAGCUUUCUGCAGAGGAAAUUAAAAUGACUCUUACUUCAUUUUCCUCUAUGGAAAAGUUCUGUUCCCCAGCCCUUCUUAUAGCCUGUAGUGAAAUUCCACAGUUGUAACAGAUGUGUUUGGCCAAGUCUUCAUUGUGUCUACUGACCAAAACAUUUUAAAAAUAUAUUUAAUUGUUGCAGGUAAUAAUAUACAUAUAUUUCUUGUUUUAGAAGUAUCUCUGAUGCAAAUCAUGGUAUAAUCCACACAUUCUCCCUCAAACUGCCCCGCCCCCCUUUUGAAUGCAGAUCUGAAUUUCUCUUUGCUUGUUAUUUUUGUUUAUAUCUGUGAAAAUCUUGUAUGUGAUUCUGAAUCAUAAAGACUUGUUUUCCUGGUCCAACUUUUCAGUUACUUAUGAUCAUGGUCCUAUUCAUCAUAAUUUGUCUUUCUGCCAGGGGUUGGGGGUAGGGUAGAGAAAUACAACCAAACUAUAAUUGUCUCCCAUCAUCAUUGCAUCAGAUAGAAAAAGCUGAAGUGCUUUGCUUUUUUUGUUGGCUAAGUUUUUUCUUUGGAGAAUAUUAACAAUUGGUGAUAAACCCUGUUUUCUGUCAUUAGUAAAACAAAAUAUAUAUUAUGAAAAUGAUUAAGCACAGAUUUAAAAAAAAUCAGAUAAGACUCUGUUUUGUUGCUGAAGCUGUUUAUUCAUGUUUGGAACCCUGAAGUAGUGUUGCUAUCUAGAUUUUUUGAUGGCCUCCCUUAAAAAAGUGGAGCCUAACCUCAAACCUCAGCAGUGUUGCUUGGACUUAGUAACUCAGUUCUGUAAUGGAAUGUGGAGGAAGUGAUGUGAUCUACUUUGGAGGCAAAGUUAUAAAAAGGGAUCAUAUUUACCUGACUUUUUCUCAUGGAAUAUUCACUCUGGGGAAGGCUGGCUGCUAUGCCAGAAAACACUUAUGAGGUCCUGUAGAGAGGAGCUGAAGUAUCUGUCAGCAGUCAGCACAACUUUGUCAGUCAUGUGAGUUAACUCCCUUAGAAGUAGAUCCUCCAACUCUAAUCAAGUUUCAAAUGACAUUAACCAACCAACUUUAAAUCCCUGGCCCACAGAGAAACCCAGGAGAUAAUAAAUGUUUUAAGCUAUCAGCUUUUAUAAUAAUCGUUAGGCAGCAAACGAGAAUUAUUAUAAACACCUUUGCUGGCUUGACUUCAGUGGUUUUGAGCAUUAAUGCAAAAGCUUGACCUAACUGUAGUCAUUUUUACUAGUAUAUAAAAUAAAUGCUUAUCUAUGGAAAGUCCUAGUUGCUAAAGGAAGUGUAAGAAAAUUGUCAUUUACCAGCAAUUACUUUUGUUUAGAAUAAUGUUUGGCAAAUUUUUUUUGGUUAAGGGCCAGGGAGUCAAAUCUGUUGAAACUAUUGUUACUUCUGUCUUGGGAAAGCAGCUACGGACAAUAUAUAACAGAUGGGCAUGGUCUUGUUUUAAUAAAACAAAACUUAUUUAUAAAUACAGGAGGUGGGCUAGAGUUUUGGAGGGUGGGGGUACUGGGAAUUUAACCCAGAGGUGCUUUACCACAGAGCUACAUCCCUAAGCCUUUUGAUUUUUUUUUUUUUUUUUUUGAGACAGGCUCUCAAUAAGUUGCUGAGACUGGUCUUGAAUUUGCUAUUCUCCUGCCUCAGACUGCUGAGCUGCUAGGAUUACAGCAGUGUGCCACCAUGCCCAGCAGCGAGUUGGGCCAGAUUUGAUUUAUAGGCUGUAGUUUGCCUAACCCCUAACCUAGGUGUUUUUUUUUUUUUGAGACUAAUAAAAUUAUAAGGUUACUAUUUUAAAAGUAGUAUUUGUUCAUAAUUUAUUUAUAACACUUAUGAGCCAAAAAAUUAAGCCUUGUAUGUCUUUGGGUUUGUACACAUUCUAUGCAGUCAUAAUGAACAUCUAGAAACUUGAUUUUUACAUGGCUAACGUAAGACUAGAAAAACGCCGCACCACACGACACAGAUUACCAAAGAGGUUUCCGCUUUAUUACAAAAGGCUGUGUGUUUAUAUAGGUCUAAGAGAGGUAGCAGGGGCUGAGGUAGAUAACAGGUCGCCCGUUUAUUGGCAAGCUCUUCCAUAUGUCAGUUCCGGAGCCCAAGAAGUUAAUUCUAAUUGGGGCUAAGGCUUCCCACCAGCAGGAUUUGAACAUUGGCACCGGCGGGAACGUUUCACGCCAGUGAAAGAAACAAAGAAGAGAAGGAGGGUCGUUAGACGCCAUGCUGGGGUUUUUCUCUGGGGUGCGGCUGCCUUAUGUUUUCCCAACAUUCCUCCCUUUUUUGUUUUCUUAGAAAGUGGGGCGUCGUUGGUCAGAUCCGGCUGCUUCCUGCUGUGUUGGGGCGGCGUGGGCCUAGAAAGGGAAGUGGAGGAAUGUUCGGGGGCGGGGGGGGGGGCGCAGGNGGGGGGCAGGUCUGGGGAUAUCAUGGCAACCAGAAAUAAAACCCAGUGGCUAUAGACAGCUACUUCCGUAGGGGUGAAGUCUAUGAAAGUUCCCUGAAAUCACAAGUUGUUGAUGGCAUUGAACCAGUCCUGGAUGGAGGAGAUUGUUGGUAUCAGCCACUGGUCCUGUAACAGAGACUCUAGGAAAUAUUGAAAGCGUUGCCUUGACAUGGCGUCACCAGCACCUAAAGAAAAUCAGAGCGAACAAAAACAGGAUGAAGAUAAAAUUAAAGCAAAUGUCAGUUUUUUGGCAGAAGUUCCAUGUCGGGGGACUGACAGAGAAGAGGCCAAGGGCCAUAAGGAGGCUUAAAAGGACAUAAAGGCUUAAAAAUCCAGGAUGGCAGAUUAAGAGGUUCUCCGGGCUCAUUGUCUUCCGCUGUCCGUUGCAUUCCAUCGCGCCUGGUAGUGAGCUUCAGCAAUGAGUGAGCUGUUCUCUUGAAGAUGUUGGGGGCUCAUCGGUCAUCAGAGGCUGGUAGUACCUAAGCAGAGGCUGGCUGAAAAUUUGGUUAGAGAUCUUCCGUAAUUGGCCCUGUAGGAAGCAAAGCAGACAGGGCAGGAACAGACACAUCAGGAAAAGAAGAUGUAUGGGCCCUAAAAGAGGCAACAGCCAUGAUUGGAAGUGGGCUAAAAAGAAGGUGGCAAAUGGGUUUUGGUUUGGUGGAUUUUUCAAAGAGGUAGCCAAGUCGGUGAGCUUGACUACAUUAAUUUCCACAAGGCCUGAUUCGUUGAUGUAGUAACAGCAUUCUUCCCUCAAGAAAAGACAGGUUCCACCUUUUUCGGCUGUGAGUAAGUCUAUAGCUCGUCAAUUUUGAAGAGUAACUUGAGCCAAGGAUGUGACCUGCCUUUGUAAAGAUGCUAGAGAUUCUGCCGUAGAAGUGAGCGCUUGUUCAAGUUUAGAACUUAAGUCCUGUACAGCCCAUAAGGAGUGUCCUAGAGCUCCACCAGAAAUUCCGGCUCCCGCUACAGAUACAGCCAGUGAGAGAUCCACCAGUAUUGGAAGGGAAGCAGCCCGCUUAUUCUGCACUGGGGGAGACAAGAGGGCCUGCACUUCAGCUGGGGUAUAGAGAGUCAAUUGCGGGACAAGCGUCACCAGUAUACAUGGGGUAGAGGUGUUGGUGAAUAAGAUAGUGAUGAGAGAACCAUUACACCAGAAGAAUGAGCCAGGUGGUGCAUAGAGGGUGAAGUUAAAGGUGAUGUUAGAGUGGCAAAACUUUGACUGGGAGACACCCAAGCCCAGGAGGCAGCGCCGGGGAAUCACAGUAUGGUUAGACUCCUCGGGCUCCCAUAAUGGAGCAUCAGGUGAAAGGGUUCGGAGAGAACGGCGGGCAGAUGGAGUGGAGAAAUUUGAGAGGUCAGAAGCCNAGAAGUUCAAGGGAACCGCUGCAAGCAAAGGUCGAGUCAGAGAGGCGCAUAAGUAGCAAUCAGUUGGUGUGAUGGCGGGGAGGGUUAGAUUUAAGAAGGUUACAGUUUCAGUAAGUAGUCGUAGCCAUGAAUACUGUGGUGGACUCCCGACAUUAGGCUCAUAUGGAUCCUGUAUGGAGUCUAACAACUGCUGUUCGGAAUGCUUUAUGUCAGUAGAGAUUAUAGCUACUGAGGGCUGGGAGGGUUGAAGCUCUUGGGAGAUGGAGAUGGAGCCACAGGGGGUGGGAGAUGAUAUGUCACAGUAGAAGGAAGCAUUUACCCUAGAGGUCCAGCGUGGAUGGUUAGGGUCAGUGAUAGCCAAUUGAUAGCCUCCCGAGAUCAAUCUGAAAUUUCCAACGCAGGAACCCCCAAUGCAUGAAUGUGGGUUAUGAACGUUACAUGACCAGUAGGGGCAUCCCCCAUAGGUUUCGGGCCACCAUUUGCAGUAAUCCUCUGUCUGAUCAUAUAAGAAGCAAAGGUAAGGCCUAGUGGCUAUUUUUAAAAGUUCAGAAUUCUGGGAGGAGAGGGAAAGGAAGAUAGAUGCAUUACAUCUGGUAGGGGCGCAAUCGACUGAAGAAACUAGGUGAGUGUAACGAGGACAUAUGUCUCGUUACAUAUGCCUUGGACAUAUGUCUCUGUGACUUUGAAUCUCCAAGUAUCAUGGUGGAGUAGGGCAGGUGGGACACAAGAGGAGGAGUGACAGGAAAGUUUUAGUUGAUUAAGAAAGGCAUCCAUAGAAUAGCUCAAAGGGGCUAAGGCCUGAGGGGGCUCUAGGAGUUGCCCGAAUUUGGGUGAGGGCCAAUGGCAAAAGAUUGGGCCAGGACAGUCUGCGUUCAAUAGCAAGUUUAGUGAGAUGAUCCUUGAGAAUGCCAUUAGGCCUCUCAACCUUACCCGAGGAUUGGGGUCAGUGGGGGAUGUGGAGCCUCCAAGUGCUGUUAAGGCCUUUGGAAACUAGUUAAACAAUCCGAGAAGUGAAGGCUGGACCGUUGUCUGACUGGAUGGAGGCAGGAAGUUCAAACCUAGGAAUGAUCUGCUUAAUGAGGAUGAAGGCGACAGUGUCAGCAGUUUCCGAUGGUGUCAGCAGUUUUCCUGGAGGUAGGGAAGGCUUCUGUCCAACUGUUAGACAGUGCUAUCCCCAAAUUACAAACAGUUAAAUCCUAUGUCAAGGCCUGACCAAAGUGGUAGGGACUGUCCCUAAAGCCUUGGGGUAGGCCUGUCCAUGUCAGCUGUUGAAACCUAAAGAAUGUAAGGUCUUCCCAUGUGAAGGCAAAGAGGUAAUAAAGUCAGGAUGCAAAGGCACUGUAAAAAAGCCAGCUUUAAGGUCCAGGACAGUAAAGUGAAUGGUCAAAGGGGGAUAUGAGAAAGAAAAGCAUGAGGGUUGGAAACCGAGUGGAUGGGAAUAACUGCCUCAUUAAUUAGGUGGAGUUCCUGGACUAAGCGAUAGGCUCCGGAGGGUUUGCGCACCGGCAGUAUGGGGGUGUUGCUGGGGGAGUCAGUAGGAGUAAGGAGUCCCUGGGCCAGCAACCGGUCUAUAAUGGGUUUAAGUCCCUCCUUAUGGGUUUUGGAGAUAGGAAAUUGGGAACACAAGGAAGUUUAGUUUGGUGUUUCAGCUGGGUAUGGACUGGCUUGUGGUGGGAGGCAAUAACCAGCAUGGAGAUGUCUCAGACCUAGGGAUCAGGGGGCAAUGGCACAGUAGGUACUGUCAGGUCAUUAGAGAGGGUAAGAGUUAAAGGCCAAAGGAGAUGGGUGGUAGUAUUCUUGGGGUGUAAUUGGAGGGUGGCUCCUAAUAAUUGGAGAACAUCUCUGCCUAGGAGAGGAACUGACAGGAUGGAAUGACCAGAAUAGUGAGUGAAUGGGUGUCCCUCCAGGGCACAGGCCAGCUUUACAAUUCUGUUUGGGGAGAAGGGUUUGUUAUCAAUCCCCAUAACUGAGACCUGGGAAGGAAACAGAGGCCUAGAAUGGGCAGGCAAGACAGAAUAGGUGGCCCCCGUGUCCACAAGGAAGGUUAUGGACUUACCCGCUGCCUGGAGCAUUACCCUGGGCUCAGAGAGGGCUGAGGGGGUCUUUGAAUCUGGGCUUCUUCAGUCUUCUGCAAACCCCAAAAGUUCAGGAGAGGGGGACUGCCUGACUGGUCAUACCCCCUGCGUAGAGGCGCCAAGGAAGGACCAGCCAGAGGCAGUCAAUCUUCCAAUGUCCUGUCUGCUUACAGGUGGGGCAUGGCCUGGAAGGAGGCCGUGGGUUUGGGCAUUGGCGAGCCCAGUGACCUUCGCAUCCAUAUUUGAGGCGAGCCUCUGGUGGAGAGGAGUGCUGGUUCCCCUCUGAAACUUGCUGGAGAUGUAGGCCUCAGGGCUGCUGUUAAGGCCUGAGUUUGGGGUGUUACCUUCUUUUCUGCAAUGAAGCCUGCUUUAAAAACCAUUUUCACCAGAUCUCAGAUAGGGGUCCGAUAGUCCUCCUCAGCUCAUUUGAGCUUUUUCUGAUAUCAUGAGCCGAUUGAGUAAUGAAAUGGGUUGCUAACACUGUAGCCCUGAUGGGAGACUCAAUAUCUAGCUUAAUGUAUUUGGUUAGGGCCUCUGUAAGGCGGUUGAGAAAUAAGGAUGGAUUUUCAUCAGGGUUCUCGGUAAUGUCCUUCAGUUUAUCAAAGUUAACUACCUUAUUAGAAACUGCUUGCAUGCAGUCCCAGUUAGAUUCAGUUAUGGGACAUGCACUCGGACUAUCCCUUCAGCACCAGCUACUUCCCUGACAGAACAAAGGAACUGUGAGUUAUCUGAUAAAAGGGAUCAGUGGACCCACGUGGGCCUUCCAGGACACCAACCGGAAAUCCCUCCUCCGGAACUUCCCCAACCAACUUGAACUCUCCAGGAAUCCCCUUGAGAACUCCAAAGUAGUGGACAGCAGGGAUCUAAUAUACAAUUGAAUACACAGCUUAACAUUACCAUCAUCAUCUCAAUGGCUUGCUGGCAUCACCUCUCAAUCAUUCCCUUCUGGCCAAAUGACUCAGGCUGUGGCUCUCAGCAAUAAUUGUUUAGUAAGGAGUAAUGUAAGAAAAGAUUCUUUUCUCAAAAAUUUUUUAAAAUAUUUAUUUAUUUAUUUUUUAGUUUUAGGUGGACACAAUAUCUUUAUUUUACAUUUAUGUGGUGCUGAGCAUUGAUCCCAGUGCCUCAUGCAUGCUAGAUGAGCACUCUACCACUGAGCCACAAUCCCAGCCCCUCUCAAAAUUUAAUACAUGUUUUUUCCUAGUGCCAGAUAGAAAUGUUCAUAGGGGAGGAGAAUCUUCCUUUUUUUGUUGUUGUUGUUGGUACUGGGGAUUGAGCUCCGGGGCACUUGACCCCUGAAUCACAUCCAAAGCCCAUUUUUGUAUUUAGAGACAGAGUCUCACUGAGUUGCUUAGCACCUCAUUUUUGUUGAGCUUGGCUUUGAACUCGAGAUCCUCCUGUCUGUCUCCUGAGCUGCUGGGAUUACAGGCAUGUGCCACUGUGCCCAGCUUCCUUUGCUUUUUUAAUCAAGAUAUAAUUCACUCCUAUAUAUAAGUGUAUAUAUAUAUAUAUAUAAAAGUAUAUAUAUAAAGUACAUAUAUAAGUAUGUAUAUAAAGUAUAUAAAAUUCACUCCUAUAAAGUGUAUAGUUUAGUUUUUAGAUCUUAGAGGGUUGUAUACUAUCAUUGUUAUCUAAUUCUAGAACAUUUUUAUCACCCCUGAAAGAAAUCUUAUGCUCAUUAGAAGUCACUUUUGAUACAUAUGUAUUUUAACAGUAUCUAAAGAGUUGGAGCUUUCUUUUAGUAUCUUUUGGUGUAUUUUAUGAUCCUUGAAUAGGCCUCUGACUCUAAGAAAAGGACCCUUUGCUGAAUAGGGAACUGGAUGGAUAAGAUUUAAAUGAAACUUGUUUGGAAAGGGAGAGACACUAUAAACAGAAUCAGUGAUGUUAAAUUGGUAAUGGAAUGAUGAGGAAUAGCUUCUGUAGAGCAGGGUUUUAUAAUCCGUUGGUCACAAUUUUGCAGGUGGCUCUGAAAUUAGUAUCAGUAACUUGCUGUUCUAUCAUGACUUUUUUUCCUCCAGCUUAUAGGCAUUUGUGGGUGGAAUAAAGGGGUGAUAAUCCAAAGAAGUUGAGGUAUAUUUUAAUUUUUUUUCUCACUCACAUGUGGGAUUUUAUUAAUGUUAUGUAUUUCUACAUACACAUAAUAUGACAGAUAUCACUCCCCAUCACUUUCCCUUCCCUCCCUGAGGUACAUUUUUAUGCAAUCCCACACUGCUUUUAAUAUUUGGCUCAGUAAGGGGAUGAAUACAUGAUUGUUGCAUUGGGCAAUAGUAGAUUUCCUGGGAAGAAGCAUGUGUUGGAGGGACCAGAUGUGAAUGGGCUGGUUGAUCCUUUGUGAUUUCCUAGUGGAGACUAUGUACUAUUUUGUUCUAGAGUUUAUAAUCAGGACAUAUAGACAUGCAAAGUAAAUUAAUAACAUGAGCGAUAGAGGAAUGAGUGAGUAAGCAAGGGAUUGGAAAUCUCUCUGAAGAUUCAAACUUGUGCUGGGUCUUGAAAGGUGAAAGAAGGAAGGGGGAAAGUCAUCCAUGUAAGAAAAAUAAUGAACAUGCAAGUCAUGCCUGGGGAAUAAGAAGUCCCUGAGUGGAGCCCCACUGAUAGAAGUCAGGAGAGAAUCUGGGGCUUACAGUUGUUAUCAUAGUAGUGGAAUACCUGCUUAGUAUUUGCAAGACCCUGGGUUUGAUUCUCCCCUCCCCCCCCUUCCCCUCCAAAAAAGUCUGGAGCUAGAUUUAAUUUUAUUUUUGGAGUUAGAUUUUAGGAGGUGGCUUUGAAUACUAGGUGAAGAAGGAAUGACUAUUAGAGGAACUAUGUAGAAUCAGAGCAUUCUAUGGUUGGGACAGGUCUCACAUCUUCCCAUAUGCUCAGAUAUAUCAACAGGACUCACUACCUCAGGAAGUACCUCUUUCCAGUAUUGGUUUGUGUUUAUUUUUAAAGCUUUUUUUUUUCUUCUUAAAUUAAACUGAAAUAUGUCUCUUUAAUCUUUUUCCUGUUUAAGAAGUUCUGCCAUCUGGGUAACACAGAAUAUGAUGAAAAUGGUGUUUUGGUGGGAGACUAGUCUUUAAGCUUUGUGUAGGAAGGGUUAAAGAGAUUGAUAGGCAGUCUGGAGGCAGGACCUUAAGAGUCUGGAGAUCAUCAUAGUAGUCAGGGAAAAUGAAGCUGUAAGCCAGGAACUGCUAUACUAGGAUAUAAAGGAUAUCAAAAUUAAAUUUUUUUAUGAGUCCUUGAAUAGGCCUCUGACCCGAAGUGGCCAGUUAUCUGUCAUGCAGGUUCACUUCCAGCUUGGCUUGUGCAAAUAACCAGUCAUUUUAAUAGAUAAAACUAAGGGACUUGGUAUGUAAAAAAAAUGUAAUAAUUCAUUUUGCUGUGACUUGAGUCAUUUAAAAGUAUGUUGAGAUAGUGUGUGAUAAGAACUCAUAUGAAUUAUCUGAAGUUAGAACAUACUCUCCUCAGCUUAGCCUUAGGAUUCUGCUGUUUCAGUUUUUAGUCAAGUUAAAAUUACUUGACAGUAUUUGCUCCAGUAUUUAGUUACAUUUAUUAAAAAGUCAAUAGUUUUUAAAAAUUUUUAUUUUGAAAAUUGUAGAAUUCAUAGGAAGUUGCAAAGAUGCUACACAGAUCCAGUGUAUUCUCAACCCAGUUUUCCCCAGUGGUUACUUCUUUUUUUUUUUUUUUUUUUUUUUUUUUUGUGGUGCUGGGGAUUGAACCCAUGGCCUUGAGCAUACAAGACAAGCUGUCUACCAACUGAGCUAUAUCCCCAGCCCCGCAGUGGUUACUUCUUAUGGAACUACUAUACAGUAUCAAAACCAGGAAGCUGACUUUGGUAUAAUGUGCAAAUAUAGCUUUCUGUUCUUUUAUUAAAUAUGUAGAUUUGUAUAACAACUACAGUAAUUAAGAUACAGAACUAUUCUAUCUAUACUAAGAUCUCCUUCAUACUACCUCUUUAUAGUUCUAUAUAUACUCCUUCCCCUCUCCAAAUUUCCCUGGUAAAAAUUCUGUUCUCCUCCUGGCAUUUUAAGAAUUGACUGGGCAUGGUGGUGCAUGCCUGUAAUCCUAGCAACAUGAGAGGCUAGGCAGAAAAGUUGCAAGUUAGAGAUCAGCCUCAGAAACUUAGUGAGGGCCUAAGGACAUAGGAAGACCCUGUUUCAAAAUAAAAAAAGGGCUGGGGAUGUGGCUCAGUUUUUAAGUGACCUUGGGUCUCCCAACAAAAGUUAUAUUAACGGAAUCAUACAGUAUAAUCUUUCAGUUUUGCCCCCCUCCAUCCCCCAGCUUGGUGUCCUUGAGAGCCAUCCAACUUGGUGUAUAUAUCAACAGUUUAACUUUUUAUUGCUUGAUAGUAUUCCAUAGGAACUCCAUGCAUGGGUAUCACUUGUCUAUGGCAAAGUAAAGAUUUUCCUUAUUUUUCAUCCUCUUGACAGAACUUUUUUCCCCUGGUGGUUGAGAUUGAACCCAGGGCCUUGAGCAUGCAAGGCAAGCACUCUACCAACUGAGCUAUAUCUCCAGCCUUCAUAGUAUUUUUGUAAAGUAAAAAAUUUUAAUUUUGAUGAAGUCCAGUUUGUUGAUUUCCCCCCCCCGCCCCACCCUCCAAUUUAUGGAUCAUGUCUUCAUGUCCUUGGUGCCAUUUUUAAUAUUUUUCAUCAAGCUCUAGCUUAUGAAGGUUUUUCUUCCCUUUUAAAAGUUUUAUAGUUUUUCAUUUUACAUUUAAGUUUAUGAUUCAUAAGUUUUAUGUAAGGUGUGGGGUUUAGGUCAUUCUUUUUUACCUGUGGAUAUCUAGUUGUUCGAGUAUUAUUUGUUGAAGAGACUAUUUUUUUUUCUCCAUUGAAUUGCUUUUUUAUCUUUGUUAAAAAUAAAUUGAUCAUACUAGUGUAGAGUUGUAUCUUGUUUUUCUAUUUUGUUUCAUUGUUCUAUGUAUAUCUUUUUUCCCUCUGCCAAUACCACACAGUCUUGAUUGCUGUCACUAUAUAAAAGUUUUAGAAUUGGGUAGAAUGAUUCUUUCUAGUUAAUUCUUUUUCUGCAUUAUUUUAGCAAUUCUAGUUUGUUUGCUUUUCCAUAUAAAUAUUAGAAUAAUUUUAUCUAUAUCCACAAGAAGUAUGGAAUUUUGAUAGGAAUUACAUUAAAUUUGUAUAUCAAUUUGGGGAGAAUUGACCUUUUUUUCUAUGAAGUCUGUCACAUUUUACACACACACACACACACACACUCAGGCUAGCAUUCCCAAAGUUUCCAUAGGGUCCUAGUUUUUAGGCAUUAAAAGUAUAUUCCUAAAUUACUCUCUAGUAAGGUUUUAUCUUUAGUUUGCUAAUGUUCAUAUAACCUCACCAAUUAACCAAUUACAAGUUAUAGAAAUUCCUGUCAAACUUGUUUGAGACAAGAGGGUGUUUAUGGACUUAUAAUUGGGAAUUCAAGGAGUAACUUUGAGUCAAAGGAUGUGGGACUUUCUUAACCACAAGUCUCAGUUUUGGCUUGUCUCCUUCCUUCCUCCUUCUCUCCCUCCCAGGGGCACUGUACCACUGAACUACAUCUUAUUUUUUAAAUUUGAGACAGGGUUUUACUAAGUUGCCAGGCUCACCUUGAACUUGUGCUCCUCCUGUCUAAGCCUGCUUAGUCACUUGGGAUCAUAGGAAUGUACCACCACACCUGGCUACCUUUUUGCUUAUAUGCUGUAUGCAUAUUGGACAGUAUGUCUACCACUGAUUAGAGAUGAUCAUGCUUGUUAUAUCAUCUCUGCAGAAAAAGAACUUUUCUUCCUCAGUGUCUUUAAGUGCCUCUGUUUGGGUCAUGCUCAGCCCUAAAUAGGUUUCUGAUGCCAGAGGAGACUGAUUAGCCAGUUUAUGUCACAUGUUUACCCUAGGCGCAAGGAAUCGGGAAGACUUCUCCAAAGGAAGAAGAGGUAUAAUAAAGUGAUGUUGUGUAGAAUUUUUUUUCUUGAUGAUGCUGGAAUAGUCCCAUUAAUAAAUUUUUUCUCCCUCUUUUUGUGUCUUUAAAGAAACUUUGUAUCAUUGGGGGCAAGUGUGUGGUUCAGUGGUAGAGUGUUUGUCUAACACGUAUUGGAUCCUGGGUUUGAUACUCCAGCACUCUUAAGGAGAGAGAAAAAAAAAAAGCAUGAUGGUGCUAAUGGAUUUUGAACAUUUUUUUGUUUGGUAAUAUAUCUGAAACAUAAUGUGUGUGAGAAUGCCUAAGGUAGUGAUAGGUAUCUAUAAACACGACUUUUCCUUUGUUGAUUUGUUGAAGCCCUGUUAUUUUUGUUGUUGAUUGGAAUUCUGUCAGGUUUUAAAAAAAAAUUGAAACAUGUCUCCUUGGGCGGGAGAUGCUGAUCUUUUAGAUUUCCCCCUUUCACUCUUUUGGCAUAGCAAAAGUGGAAUUAUCUUGGAGUAAAAAAAAUCAAGACAUAUUGCUUAUGUCUAUGAUUUUUUUAUUUUUGAAAUUUUGUGGUUCUGGGGAUUGAACACACUCUACCACUGAGCUACAUCCUCAGCCCCUUUUAUUUUAAUACAGGUUCUCACUAAGUUGCUCAGGCUGGCCUUUAACUCGUGAUCCUCCUAUCUCAACCUCCCGAGGCACUGGGAUUAUAGACUUGUGUCACUGUGCCGUGUACUUUUAAAAGUAAAAAUCUUAAAAACUACAGAAAUACCCAUCAUUUAAAACUCAUGGUCUCUUAGGACGCUGAUAUAAAGAAAGGUUGGGGAAUUAGUUUUUUUUUUUUUUUUUUUGGUCUUGGUACUGGCAAUUGAACCCAGGAGCGCUUAACCACUGAGCCAUAUCCCCAGCCCUUUUUAAUAUUUUAUUUAGAGACAGCUAAAUUGCUGAGACCGGCUUUGAACUCACUAUCCUCCUCUUCUAGCCUCCCAAGCCACUGGGAUUACAGGUGUGUGCCUUUGUGCCUGGCUGGAAUGAAGGUUUUUAUUGAUACUGAUACUUUUCUUAUUUUUAUUUUUUUGCAGUACUGGGGAUUGAACCCAGGACCUUGCAUCCCCAGCCCUUUUAAAUUUUUUUUUUUUUUUAAAUUUUUUAAAUCUUGAAACACUGUAUCACUAAAUUGCCUGGGUUGGCCUCCAAACUUGCAAUCCUGCUGCAGUCUUAUGAUUUGCUGGGAUUACAGGUUUGUACCACUGCUCCCAGUGACAUAUUUUUACUUCUCUUAGCAAUGGUGUGGUGUGGUUGAGAACAUAACUGCAAUCUUCUUUGAUAUAGCUUGAGUGACUUGUAUAUGGGGGAGGGGAGAGAGUAUGUGUGUUUGUGUGUGUGUUUACAUUGUGAAUUUUGUAAAGGCAUUUUUUUAUUUUUAAAAUUUAUUUAUUUAUAAGAGUUUUAUAGUUAUACAUAAUGGUUUGGUUCAACCCAACAAACUCAUACAUGCAUGGAAAUCGAUUUCAGUUCAUGAUCCCCCUUGUAAAGGCAUUUUUAAGGAAAAAUUAUGUAUAUAUUCCCUGACAAAAAGGAUAUUCACUAUAGGCUGCCCAGCUCUUGAUGUAUAAUUUUUUCCCCUGGCAACUGACUGAAGUCAGAUUGAAGAAAGUGAAAAUUGGUCUCCUGUCCAGUGCAAAUGUUGAAAACUUCAGACUGAUGUACCCACAUCUAAUAUUGGCAGCCUGGAAGAUAGAUGUUAAAAGGCAGAUAUGAUUUGGACAAAGCAACUGUCAGUGACUGCCUUGAGUGGGAUUUGAGAGGUAGACAGGAGGCACAGUAGAGUCUCAGUUUGCUGAGUUCAUAAUGUAAAGAUUUAAAGCAUAGCUAUGAGGAGCUUUGUGUGGGUGUGUGAGAGAUUGCAUUUUAAUUCAUGUAGUCCAGUUAGUGUGGUUUUAGGUUUAAACCAUGAGCUUGAUCUUACAUAUGGCUCUUUAAUUUUUCACAGAAGAAAAAUGACAAAUAUUUCUCCUUUGGAAUGCUGAGUAUGGUUUUCAAAACGUGUUAAUGAUGCUCUGGAAGAGCAAUAGCGGAGGAACAUUUAACAUUUUGAAGAUUAAAGUUAAUUAGGUUUUUAGAUUAGUAUAAUAACUUUCUUCAUUAAAUCUAAUAAGAAAUUAGCUGAUUUUUCUCAUAUUCUUGCCUUGAGUUUUGGCUUCUCAUUUGUUAUCCUCCCUUUUCUUUCCCCUUGCCUUCUGGGUAGGAUUUUCAUCCAGUUUUCUCCUCUUACUUUUCACAAAGUCUCUUUUCAUGUGAUCCCUUAUGGCUGGCUGGGUCUAUUGUUAGAAGUGCUUCCACUCCAUUUUUUUUUUUUGGUACCAGGGAUUGAACCCAGGGGCGCUUAACCACUGAGCCACAUCUCCAGCCCUCCACUCCAGUUUUUACCUUUUGUGUGUUUCUCAGGACUGUGAUUAAUUUAAAAAAAUUGGUUCAUUAUUGAUCCCCCUUACCUCUAGUCUCACCAUUUAAUCCAUUUUCUCUUGUUCCUUAUUUAACUUGAGCAAGAAAAGCAAAAUAUAAAUUCUGGAAAAAUCAUUAACUGGUUGUCAUCUGGGAGUUUUAUAUCUUAAAAUUGUCUGUCUAACUUAAAACUCAAGUUUCCAGGGUGGAGGCUAUAUUUUUUUUUUUUUUGACUUGUGAUGUGUCAAGGAUGCUGUCUGCUUCUGGAUCACUACCCUUGUGUGAGCAUAUGCUGCUUUGCAGAGAUUCGAGGUCUGCUAUAGCCAACUUGGAAGUGAGGAAAGAAGAGUGAAGUUAUUAAAUUCUAAUGUUUCCUGUCAUUUUGAAAUUUCUCCUCUUUUGUUUUUUUAAAAAAUUAUCUUGUUAAAUUCACAAAGAAAACUCAGAUGAUACUUUUAAGUUACAGUAGGUAAUAUUACUGCCUUAAUAUAUUUAUACAAUGUAGCUGAGGAAGUUAUCUUAGGUAUAAAAAUUUUGGCUUUGGCAAGACUUGAGUCAUGGUGUUGCAGUAACUUGGUUUCUUCUAGUUAAUUUCUUAAGAAAGUGAUUCCAAGUUGAAAUGCAUGUUAUGCAUUUAUUUGAAUAUGUAAUCAGGAAGCAAGUGCCUCUCUUUGGAGUGUUUCUGAAUAGCAGCAGGGUGCACUUGAAUUAGUAAGGAAAAUGAGAACAUGAAUAUGUGUGAUACUCUAUUUUAACUUAAAAAGAAAAAAAGUUCAUUCUGUCUGUCCAUCCCAGGAUGGAAAGGCGGAUAUGUUGGGAGGUUUUCUAGGCUAUACUGAUGUAUAUUUAAAUAACUUGAUGCUACAUGUUUAUUUCUUGGAUUGACUUUCAAAGAUAAAUAGUUUUGUGGAUUAAAAAAGACAUUAUCAUCCCAGAAAGUUCUUUUAAAGUAUCUGUCAGAAAUUCUUUGAAUCAUUGUCUGUUUUUAUUUGAAUCAUUGUCUUUUUUUUUUUUUUUUUUUUGUAACUAAGGUAUAUUAUCUAAGGGCCUGAGGUUUUUGCCAAAUAUUCUCCAAUAAAUAAUGAAAGGGUAAAGAUGGAGACAAUUGUUGUAUUUAGGUUCGUCCUCAUAUCACUAUGGGUUAUGCCAGAUAUACACCAUCAUUUGUUUUCUUCCCAUAAGGGUUGUGUUAUGAAGUCUGUUAUUCUUUGUAACCAUAUUGCUAGUUUAUCUUCAUUGACAAGUAUGGAAAAUGUCUUCAGGCUGGUAAUGGUCUUGUAGGCUCAAGUGUUCCCUUGUCUUGGCCUCCUGAGUAGCUGAGAAAACAGGGACUAUAGACCUGUACCAUCAUAUCCAGCUGUAUUAACUUUUUUUGGUACUGGGGAUUGAACUCAAAGGUGCUUUACCACCGAGCCACAUCCUCAGUUACACCCCCAAACCCCUUUAAAAAAAAAUUUGUGACAGGGCCUCACUAAGUUGCUUAGAGCCUUGCUAGUUUCUGAGGCUGUCCUCAAACUUGUGAUCCUCCUGCCUCAGCUCCUGAGUUGCUGUGAUUACAGGUGUGCACCACUGCACCUGACUAUAUUAACUUGAUUAUCUUGAAAUUGGCAACUAAUCUUGUGAAUUCUAGGUUCUGUCAUUUUUAUUAUUUGGUAAAAUGAGAGUUGGUGGAAUGAUAACAAAGAGAUAAAAAUGGUUAUGUCACUUCUUGGUGAGACCCCUUGAUCAGAUGUGUUUAAGAGUAUUUGGCAUAAAGUAGGUUUAUCAGUGUAACUAAAGCACUAAAAAGUAAUUUUUAAAAAUUUAAUUGAUUUUUUUAAAAAAAUACACAACAGUGGAAUGCAUUACAAUUCUUAUAAAAAGUAAUUUUUUGAAAAUUUUAUUUUUGGUACCAGGGAUUGAACCCAGCGGUCCUUGACCACUGAACCAUAUCCCUAGCCCCCCUGCCCCUCUUUUUUAAAUUUUGAGGCAGAGUCUUGCUGAGUUACUUAGGGCCUCACAAGUAGCUGAGGCUGGCCUUGAACUUGCAAUCCUCGUGCCCCAGCCUCUCAAGUCACUAGAAUUACAGGUAUAUGCCACCAUGCCCCCACCUCACUUUUCAAAUACUUAAGAAAUAUGAUAUAUAGAGUAUGACAAAUAAAUAUAAUGAUAGUCUUUUACAUUAGAAAAUUGAAGGCUUCCGUUAUUAAUGAAUAUGAGCUAUUGGAGAAGGAAAAAUAUUUUUUCUUUUUAAAAUUUUUUAAAUUUUAAUUAGAUAUAUAUGACAGCACAAUGUGUUUUGAUUCAUUGUACACAGUUGCAGCACAACUUUUUAUUUCUCUGAUUAUACACGAUGUAGCAUAGCACUGUAUGUGCAGUCAUAUAUGUACCUAGGAUAGUAAUGUCCAUCAUACAUCCAUUAUUCCAUAUUUUCUGCCUCCAUAUUUCCUCCCCUUCCUUCCCUCCCCUUUACCCCAUCACAAAGUUCCUCUAUUUUUCCCAUGUCCUCCCCCAUUAUGGAUCAGCAUCCACUUAUCAGAGAGAACAUUCAGCCUUUGGUUUUUUGGGAUUGGCUUAAUUUCUUUAGCAUGAUAUUCUCUAACUCCAUCCUUUACCUGCAAAUGCCAUAAUUUUAUUCUCUUUUAAUGCUGAGUAAUAUUCCAUUGUGUGUGUGUGUGUGUGUGUACACACACACACACACACACACACAAUUAGUUUCUUUAUCCAUUCAUCUAUUGAAGGCAUCUAGUAUGAAUUGAGCUGCUAUAAACAUUGAUGUGGCUGCAUUGUAUAGUAUGCUGAUUUUAAAUCCUUUGGAUAUACACUAAGGAUUGAGAUAGCUGGGUCAAAUUGUGGUUCCAUCCCAGGUUUUCUAAGGAAUUUCCAAACUGCUUUCCAUAGUGGUUGCACCAAUUUGCAGUCCCACCAACAAUGUAUGAGUGUGCCUUUUCCCCUACAUCCUUGCCAACACUUACUUACUGUUGUCUGUAUUCUUGAUAACUGCCAUUCUGGCUGGAGUGAGAUGAAAUCUUUUUAAAAAUUUUUUUAUUUAAUAUUUAUUUUUUAGUGCAGUUGGACACAAUACCUUUAUUUUAUUUAUUUUUAUGUGGUGCUGAGGAUUGAACCCAGGGCCUCACACAUGCUAGGCGAGCGCUCUACCCCUGAGCUGCAACCCAGCCCCAGAGAUGAAAUCUUAGAGUAGUUUUGAUUUGCAUUUCUCUAAUUAGAGAUGUCAAACAUUUUUUCAUAUAUUUGUUGAUCAAUUGUAUAUCUUCUGAGAAGUGUCUGUUCAGCUUCUUAGCCCAUUGAGUUGUUUGUUUUUUUGGUGUAAAGUUUUUUGAGUUCUUUAUAUAUCCUGGAAUUAGUGCUGUAUCUGAUGCGUGUGGCAAAAAUUUGCUCCCAAAAUGUAGGCUCUCUCUUCAUCUCAUUGAUUGUUUCUUUUGCUGAGAAGCGACAUUGUAGUUUGAAUCCAUCCCAUUUAUUAAUUCUGAUUUUAUUUCUUGUGCUUUAAAAGUCUUUUUAAAGAAGUGGGGGCCUAAUCUGACGUGAUGAAGAUUUGGGCCUACUUUUUCCUCUAUUAGACACAGGGUCUCUGGUCUAAUUACUAGGUCCUUGAUCUAGUGCAUGGAGGGACAGAGGUUUAGUUUCAUUUUGCUGCAUAUGAAUUUCCAGUUCUUCCAGCACCAUUUGUUGAAGAGACUAUUUUCUCUCUAAUGUAUGUUUUUGGUUCCUUUGUUUAGAAUGAGAUAACUGUAUUUAUGUGGGUUUGUCUCUGUCUUCUGUUUUGUACCAUUGGUCUACAUGUCUAUUUUGGUGCCAAUAGAAAAAGAUUUGAGAGAAUUAAAAUCAUUUUCAGUUACAGAGAACAAAAUAACUCAAGCAAAGGUCAUCUCAAAUCAGUGGGAGGAAGGAAUCAGAAUUCCUCUUAUAGCCAUGAAUCUGAUCCUGAGAUGAAUAAUUUGAACACAUUUAAGAUGGUUGAUAGAUCGCAAAUUCUUCACCUGAAAGGUUUUGUUAUUUUAACACAGGACUGUUUUUGCUGGUUUUAAAAUAAACAUUCAGUUGGAUGUCUUAAAAUAUCUUUUCUCUGUUGGUAGUUGUUAAUAAACAAUAUUUUCUCAAAAAAUGUUCUUUUUGCUGGGUACACUGGCACACACCUAUAUUCCCAAAGGCUCAGGAGGCUGAGGCAGGAGGAUUGCAAAUUCAAAGCCAGCCUCAGCAACUUAUUGUGACCCCAUUUCAAAAGAAAAAAUUAAAAGCACUGGGGAUAUGGCUCAUUGGUUAAGAGCCCUUGGGUUCACCCCCCCCCCCCCCAAAAAAAAAAAAAAAGCUGGGGAUGUAGCUCAGUGGCAGAGUGCCCUUGGUUUCCAUCCUCAGUAUGGGUAAAUAAAUAAAUUAAUAAGUAAAUGGGGUAGAAGGGCUGAGGGAGAGGUAAAGGCCUUCCUCAAGUCUCUCUGCAGUAGCUGUAAACAGAAAAUAAAAGUGAUGAGAUUGGGGCUGCAAAUACCUACAAUAACUCAUAUUUUAGAUAAGUCUCUCAAGAUGACUGAUUUUUAUAAAGUUUUUGAAAAACAUUUGGUAAUGUAUGCUUUACAUUUUGGAAGUUAACUAGCAUCGUUUAUACCUUAGAAAACAGAUUUCAAAACCUGAAUAUUAUGCAUUGUACACAUGAAACAUACUUUUAACUUUGUUAUCAUUUAAAAACUUUUUUCUUUAGAAGUAUAUUCAUUAUAGGAAGUUAAGAAAAUAAUUACAUAUCAGGCCAUACGUACUACCUUGUGAUAAAUUGUCAAUAUUUUGAUGUAUGUUGGUUGUGGUCUGUUCCAUGACUUGCUUUUGUCAUAAACACAUUAUGAUCUCUGUUUUCACUGUAUAACAUUGAUUGUUUUAUAUUUGCUAUUUAAAGUGGAAAUGAACAAAACUUUUCACUAAUAAAGUCAUCUGGUCUGGGAAGUUCGUGUAAUUUAUAGAAGAUAAGCCAUAUUCCUCUACUAAGCUGAAAAAUUCAUGUUUCUUUCUGGAUGUUAGAGUUGGUAUGUGGCUAAUGACCAUGUUCUGAAUAGGUUUAAGAAUUGAAAAAAAGUAGAUGAGAAAGUGAAGGGGGCAUGGAAGUAUUUGUUUACAUAUAUUAUCUCAUUUUAAUUUUCAAACCAAUUCAGAUGGGGAGAUGGUAUUUCUAUUUUGAAAAAAAGACAAAUAGUCGAGAUGAAUCAACCCAAAGUCACACAGCCAUCAAAUAGUGAAGGUGGGAUUCAGAUCAAUUCUAAAACCUUGUUUUAUCUAUGCCAGGUAAUGUUCUGGAAGAAAGGUAAUACAUACUCAUUAACUUACCCUUGUAACAUUCUUUAUUUUAAAGGAGCAACAUGAUAGAAUAUGUCACAUCUUUUAGGCUCAAGUUAAAAACAAAAACUGUAGCCUUUUUUAAUGUUCUCUUUUUCUGUCUUUCGUUCCCCUCUCGUUCCCGCAUGUACGUGUCCCCACUCCCCCCAAUUCAAGCCUGUCUUUUCAAGGGGGAUUUAGUUAAGAUAUUUGAUGCUUCAGAAAGGCCUUGAACUUGUCCUGUUCCAAUAAAUAACUUUGGGGGAUUUUUUUUUGGUUUUCUUCCUUUGCAAUUAGUCUUUGUUAUUGUUUUGAACUCCAGAAGAGUUUAAAUUUUAUCCCCAGUUUAGGAGAAAACAGCAGGGGGUGAUAGAUCUGAUUUCAUGGCAGAUGGUAGUGGGUUCUCUUAAAUUUAAUCUCCUUUAUAUCUUAGGAGAUUAUAUCUUAGUUAAUAUGUAGUUGACUGGUGGCAAUUGGGACAAAGCCAGAAGACCUAACUAUGUCCUAAGCUUUUACUGCUUGCAUGAGAGCCUGGACAGAUCUCCUCUUUGUUUUAGUUUGCUAGUUUACCCUUUUGUGUGAAGAGAGCUUUUGAACUCCUAGAAAUGUGCUAAGGCUAAUCUUUUAAAAAUUUUUUGAUUUAUUUUUGCAUUUGAUUUUGUAAAAAUACUUUUAAAAGAAAUCUCAUCCAUGUUAUUGUCGUGUUCUUAUUUUUAUUAUUUUUUUAGUUGUAGAUGGACAUAUUAUCUUAAUUAUUAUUAUUAUUAUUAUUUAAUGUGGUGCUGGGGAUUGAACCCAGUGCCUUACACAUGCGAAGCAGGUGCUCUACCACUGAGCUACAGCCCCAGCCCCUUGUCAUGUUCUUUUUACAGGGAUUACCAUUGAGCAAAAGAAUGAAGAUCUUGUUCUUAGCUAUGGGCUUACUUACAUGUUUGUCCAUAGUUUUGUGAAUAGGGAAAAUUUGGAUAUUUUAAUUCAUAAUUUAGUGUGCUUUUUUAAAAAACAGAUUAUUUUUUUAGUUGUAGGUAGACACAAUACCUUUAUUUUAUUUUUGUGUGAUGCUGAGGAUCGAACCCAGUGCCUCACUAUGCUAGGCAAGCGCUCUACCUCUGAUCUACAACCCCAGCCCCCUAGCGUGCUUUUUUAAAAGUAUUUUAAAAGUAUUUUAACAUUUUUUAAAAAUGUAUUUUUCAUUAUUAAUAUGUUAGCUAAACAGUUUAAGAACUUGCCAAUGUGCCUUUGAGCUGAAAGAAUAGGUUGGAUGUAAAUGUUUUUUUCACUAGUACUAGCCAUUGAACCAGAGACCCUCUAUCCCAGCCCUUUUUAUUUUAUUUGAGAUAAAGAGUCUGGGGUUCUCCUGCAUUAGCCUCCCAAGUCUUUGGGAUUAUAGGCGUGCACCACUAUGCCUGGCUAAUGUGUUUAGUUUACCUGGCUUCUUCCUUCCAGUUUCAGUUGUUUGCUGUCAUUGAUCUGUUGUUAUUUUGGAACCAUAUCAUGGUAGCUGAAGAAUGAACUGGGUUAAGAGUUACAACUUAGAGGAAGGAGGAGGUUAUGAUGAAAAGAAAAGAGUUGGUGAAAAAUUUGAGAGUCAGCAUGUCAAGGUUAUGUGAUUGUUAAAAUUGCCAGGUUUCAUUUGUUCAUUUAAAUGUAACCUAGUCUUUGAAGAGUUUUGAUUCAUUUAGAUGGACUGUAGAUUUAACAGUCUUUUUAAAAUUCAUUCUGGGGGCUGGGGUUGUGGCUCAGUGGUAGAGCACUCGCCUAGCACACGUGAGGCUCUGAGUUCGAUCCUCAGCACCACAUAAAAAUAAAUAAAUAAAACAAAGGUAUGGUGUUGAACAUAACUAAAAAAUAAAUAUUAAAAAAUAAAUAAAAUUCAUUCUGUUUGGCCUAAUUUGAGCCCUUACCUGUGUCUUCUAAUUCUUUCAUUCACUUGAAGUUUACUCCCUUUUUUAUCUCCAUCCUGCUCAGAUUUUAACAGAGAACCAGAGGAACUUCUGAAAAAACUGGGAUUUUUCAACAUUAUCAAACUUCAUACUGUUUAGAAGCCUCUUGCUAUUUUGCAUUUACUUUUCAUUUGAGGGUCCUGGAACUGCCAUUUAUUCCACUUGGCCCUUACCUCCUCCUGUGGUCCUGAUUGUGUGUGCUUCUGUCUUUGGCCCAGAAUAUUCAUUCUUCAGUUGGGCACUAUGAGUCUCCUUUUGUCUCUCCCCACUCUUAAUAUUUGUUAUUAAUUCCAGUUGUGAUAAUAAAAAGUAUGGCAGUGGUAGGCACUGCUCUCUGCACUCUGCUGAGUACUUUGUGUGUCCUAGAGCAUUUGGUUUCAUCUCCGCAGCCCUGGAAAGUGGGCACAGGCAGUUCUGGCUUUGCAAGGUUCUGAUGUGCGCACAUUUUCAGUUACCAACAUUUAGUUAAAUACCACCAGUCCCCCAAUAGUUCAAAAUUUAGUUACCACAGUAUACUAAUUAACAGUGAAGAUUUGCAUAAAGUAAGUACUAACCUUGCUGUUAGCUCUGAAGUAUACAUAUUGCCACAUAAAUAACUGAUUCACAUUAUGGUCAGUGACCAAUUAUGUCACUCUUUCCAGUUUGUUGAUUGUUCAUUGUGCAUCUUUUUUUUUUUUUUUUUUUUUAAAGAGAGAGUGAAAGAGGGAGAGAGAGAGAGAGAGAACUUUUUUUUUAAUAUUUAUUUUUUAGUUUCCGGCGGACACAACAUUUUUGUUUGUAUGUGGUGCUGAGAAUGGAACCCAGGCCGCACGCAUGCCAGGCGAGCUCGCUACCGCUUGAGCCACAUCCCCAGCCCUUCAUUGUGCAUCUUAUCAGUUUAUGUAGAGUGUGUAGUUGUGUUGUCCUUCCCUUCCAGUAAUAAACCCACUAGAACCAUUUUACAAAAGUAGAGAAUUAAAAGAGGAAAUUAACGAACAAAAAAAUGGAUGCUCAGGCAAAGAAAUGAAAAAUGAUAAAUUGAAUAGAAGAAAAAUGGAGGAAAUAGCCAACCUCAGUAAUGUUUAUUCUGUUGCUGUUUAAAAUCCUAGGUAAGUGCCAAAGGAAUUUGCUGAAGGAACAUUCCUUCACUUAUGUGAGGAAAGUGAUUGUGAUGAAAAGGAAGAUGAUGUUCAAGAGAAAAUGAUGUCAUAAAAAAAUGUCAUGUUAAAGGAACUCUUGUAGAUAAUUUAUGAACUUGAAAAUGAAAAGAUUAAGAGCUGGAUAUGGUAGUGGGAUAUAUAUACAGAUGUAAUCCCAGUGACUGAGGAGGUUGAGGCAGGAGUAUUGCAAAUUUGAGGACUGUUUUGGCAAUUUAGCAAGAUCCUGUCUCAAAAUAAAAAUGGACUGGAUAUGUGGCAAGCAAGCAUUGUUAAUACUACUUUUGAGAGCUUUUUUUGUUGUUGUUGUCAUUGUUAACAGAAAGUUUUUAGCCUUAACCUUAACAACAACAAUAACAAAUUCUCAGUGUACUGUAAAGUUUAACAUAGUUUAUUGAAUAUGUAUAUGUUUGUAAUAAUAAAGGAGUUUUUAAUAUGUUGACAAAAAAUUUUAAUGGUUACAGCACAAUCAUAAUUUUUCCAUUGAUGAUUAAGAUCACUUUGCACUGUUUCAGCCUGUCUGAAUAUUUUUAUAGUCUUGUGCUACUAACAAAGAUUAUUAAUGUUAUUAUUUCUGUUUUACAACUGUGUAAACCACCACCUAUUUAGUGGUAAAAAAAAACUAUAGUUUCUGACCCUUAAAGGUGACCUUUGAACAGAAGAAUACUCAUAAAACAAAUUGAAGACCUUUUCUCUGAUUUUUGAUUUUGUUUUACCUAAUAAUACUAAUUUUAAAAAUAUAUACCAAAUAUAUACCCUAUGUUGUCUCUCAUGGUACAAAGUAGUGAAUUAGACAUUUUAAAAUUAUUAUUAUUAUUUUGAUGCUGGGAAUUGAACCCAGGACCUCACUAGUCAAGAGCUCUAUUAUCAAGCUACAUAGCUACAUCCCCAAUCUCUCAUAUUAUUUUAAUAGAUGCUCACAGUGGGGUAUUCUUGACAUUUUAGAGAGGAAACAGGCGUAUAGAGUCCAGUUGUGUAGCUGGUAAAUGAAAAAAACAAAAUCUAGGCCUUCAGCUCCAAGACCUGUACUCAUUCAUGUUAUUACAUUUGAUGUUCCCCCCCUUGUUAAUAUCAUAAUUCACAUACCAUAAAAUUUACCCCUUAUAAAGUAUGUAAGUGAUUAGUUCUUAGUACAUUCACAAGGUGUAUAGCUGUCACCCCUGUGUAAUCUGACAUUUUCAUCAACUCAGAGAAAAAUCCUGUUGUAUCUAUUAACAUUAAGUUCUGAUACUCCUACCCCAUUACCCUGCCCGCAACCACUAAUAUAUCUACUUUUUGUCUCUAGAUUUGCCUGUUGUAGAAAUUUCAUACAAAUGGAAUGGUACAAUUUGUGGCUUUUUGUGACAGACUUCUUUAACUUUAUGUGAUUUUUAUUUUCUUUCUAUUUUAAAGGCACUGAAGAGGUUUAUUUAGCAAAGUAGAUACACAUUCAAGGAAGAAUUGAGGCAAUCAAAAGAGAUUUACCCCACUGGGUAAUGUACCAGUACUUUGGUAAUGAAGCAGCACUUUGUUACUUUUUAUUGUUAUAUAUAGGGAUAUAUUACAAUUUGUUUAGCCAUUCAUUAAUUGAUGGGUGUUUGGCUUUUUAACUAUUAUGACUAAAGCUGCCAUGAGCCUUCAUGUAUACAUUUUGAGGUAUAAUAAUUAUACUUAGGUAUAAUAAUAUUAUAUAUAUUAUGUAUAAUAUAUAUAAUUAUUAUACUUAGGUAUAAUAUUAUACUUGAUGCUAGCCUGGGCAACACAGUAAGACUUCACCUCCAAAAAACAAAAACAAAAACAAGUUAGUGAUUUUUCUCAACUAAGCCUUCCAGGUAGCUGCAGUUGUAGGCAUUUGCCACUGUAACUACACACCUUCCCCCACCCCUUCUCCUUUUUAAUUUCUCUCAAUUUAUAUGCUGUCAUUCAGCUCUUGCUUGUCCCCUUCUCACUUUUAAGACAACCCUAGCUUGGAAUCUUUAAUUUUUGUUGGUUUCUUCUUAAUACUUUAUAAUCAAAAGUUAAUAGAUCUUUUGACCCCUGCCUUUAAAAUUUUCUAUUACUCUUUCCUAGGUCACCACUGCAGCUUUCUGAUGCCUCUUUCUGGUCAGGUUUAUUGUAUGUAAGAUUAGGUUAAUUUUCUCCUUCCAUGAGUUUGACUUCCUCUAGCUCAAGGAUUCUUUAUUGAAUUCUGUUUGUCCAUGGCCUUUCUAUCCAUUACUUCUUUCUCUCCUGUAUACAGCCCUCACUUUUCAGUUAGAUUAAAGAAUUCAGGUUCCAAUUGUAUCUUAUUGUGUUCCUCAGCUUGGAUCUAAGAAUGUUAGUAUUGACAUUGCAAAUCCUGGUCUAUGAUUCACUAGUUUGGUGACAGGGAUUAAGUUAUUUGACCUGUGUAAGCAUUAGUUGCCUUUGUGUGUGUGUGUGUGUGUGUGUGUGUGUGUGUGUGUGUGUGUUGCUGGGGAUUGAACCCUGGACCUUUUGCAUGCAAGGCAAGCACUCUACCAACUGAGCUAUAUCCCCAGCCCUAGUUGCCUCAUUCUUAAAAAGGGCUAAUGCCACCUACUUUCUGUAUGAUUGAUAAAAUUAAUUUAAUGUUGCACAUUAUUAUGUUCAUUCUACUUGAAGUGGUAACUCUUAAUUCUCCUGCCAAAAUCCUUCCUAUCUUUUGCAAGUUGGGUCCAGUUCAGAAUACCUUCCAUGUACCUGUUAACAUUUUACUUCUUCACCAAACUGGUUGUUAGUGCUUCCUUCUUUGAUAUCUCAUAGAACCCUAUGAAAGCAUGGGCUGUUUGUUGUGGACAUACUGCUAGUCCCUAAUAUAGUCCUUGAUGUGUGGUGGGUGUUCAUAUUUGUUGAAUAAAUAAAUCUUUUUUUGUGGGGGGGGGGCACCAGGGAUUGAAUUCAGGGGCAUUCAACCACUGAACCACAUCCCUAGCCUUAUUUUGUAUUUUAUUUAAAGACAGGGUCUCACUGAGCGGCUUAAGGCCUUUUACUGAGGCUGGCUUUGAACUCGUGAUCCUCCUGCCUCAUCCUCCCAAGCUGCUCGGAUUACAGGUGUCCGACACUGCAUCCAGCUAUAAAUCAUUUUUUAAAAUACCGUGAGACAUUAUUGUUAAUGUUAUGAAUUUACAUGAUUGCCAUAUGUCAGUAUCUUUUUAAAGAUAUAAGGGAGGCAUAUAUCAGAUAUAGGAAAACCUUUCAUCUGCAGAGUUCUUCAUCAUGAGUUAUUUCUGAUCUGAUAAAUAUGCAGAGCUUAUCUUUACUCUUAGUAUUCUAUAGAGCUUUUAAGUCUAAUUGAUGUAUGAAUCGGAGGUAACUUUUUUCCCCUUCUAAGCUCAUAUUGUACAACUAAAGUUGAUAGAAAUUCUUUUGUGUUGAGAAAUAGUUUACUUUUUUGAAAAUGGCCCUUAAAAUAAAACAAACAAACAAAAUACAUGGAAAUGAGAAAGAGAAUGGCUUUUAGGCUUUAAUCUACAGUGGAUAUACUCAGCAGAGAAAGAGAGUAAGUGCUUUUCCAAGACCCCAAAGAUAACACCAUACAACUACCAUCAGAAUACCAGUGGACAAGACAUAGCCCUGGCCCUCUAUGUGCUUCCAGCUAUAAGAAGGGAGGUAUAGCCAGGCACAGUGGCGUAUACUGUAAUCCCAAUAGCUUGGGAGGCUGAGGUAGGAGGAUCACGAGUUCAAAGCCAGCCUCAGCAGAAGUGAGGCGCUGAGCAACUCAGUGAGUCCCUGUCUCUAAAUAAAAUACAAAAAAGAUCAGAUGUAGCUCAGUGGUUAAGUGCCCCUGGGUUCACUUCCUGGUACAAAAAAAAAAAGGAGGAGGAGGAGGGAGGCAUAAUAAUCACCUGAAAUGCUUAUCAAUAGAAAUUAAUAAAACAAAGUAUAAUUUGUGUAAGUUUCCAGGAAAUAAUGUAAAUAAAUUCUUUUUUGUUUUAAAAAAUUGCUCUAAAGAGUUAUACAUGACAGUAGAAUGCAUUUUGAUACAUUAUUCAUAAAUGGAGUCUAACUUCUCAUUCUUCUGGUUGUACAUGAUGUAGUACAAUUACAAUUGUGUAAUCAUAUAUGUACAUAGGGUCAUAAUAUCUGAUUCAUUCUAUUGUUUCUGUCCCCCUUGUAAAUAAAUUCUUGAACUCAGGAUUGUAUAUGUUGUAUAUACUUUUAAAAAAAAAUAUUUUUUAGUUGUAGUUGGACACAAUACCUUUAUUUUAUUUAUUUAUUAAUGGUGCUGAGGAGGUAGGUAGGCGAGCGUUCUACCGCUGAGCCACAACCCCAGCCCUGUAUAUUCUUUUUUUAAAAAAAAUUUAAAAUUUAUUCUAAUUACUUAUACACGACAGUAGAAAACGUUUAUGCACUUUGAUAUAUCAUACAUAAAUCGAUAUAAUUUCUCAUUUUUCUGAUUAUACAUGUAGAAUCACAUUGGUUGUGCAGUCAUAUAUGUACAUAAAGUAAUAAUGUCUGUUUUUUUUUUUUUUUAAUAAUAUCUGUUUUUUUCUAUUAUCGUUCCUACCCACAUAUCCUUCCUACCUACUUACCCCCUCCUUCCCUUAACUCCUCUCUUUCUAAUCUAAAGUAAUGAUAUUCUUCCCCUGAUUUUUUAGGUGUAGAUGGACACAACACAAUGCCUUUAUUUUUUUAUGUGGUGCUGAGGAUUGAACCCGGGUCCUGCCCGUACUAGGCGAGCGCUCUACCGCUGACCCACAAUCCCAGCCCUUAACAUGAUAUUCUACAGCUCCAUCCCUUUACUGGCAAAUGCUAUAAUUUCAUUCUUCCUUAAGGCUGAGUAAUAUUCCAUUUUACGCCCCCCCCCCUUUUAAAAAAUCCAUUCAUCUCUUGAAGGUCACCUAGGUUGUUUCUAUAGUUUAGCUAUUGUGAGUUCAGCUUAUGCUGGAUAUUCUUUUUUUUUUUUUUUUUUUGUGGUGCUGGGGAUUGAACCCAGGGCCUUGCGCAUGGGAGGCAAAGCACUUUACCAACUGAGCUAUAUAUCCCCAGCCCUGGAUAUUCUUAACAACUAUGAUAAAGUCUAUUUUAUGUUUCAAGCUUAAUUUUUAAAAUUAUAGAUGCAAUAACCAGUUUAUUAUAGAACCUGGUUUCAUAAGUACAAAAUAAUAUUAAGAGGCAGAAUGUAACCUAGUAAUAACUCUUAGUUGCCUUUUCACUGCAGUUUUUUCUUUAAAAAAAAAAACACACCACAGAUUACAUACAUUUGGAAUUUCAUAUUUUUCUGCUUAAGAUUAUAUCAUAAACCUUUACAUUUUUCAUAUGCUAAUAUUUUUAUAAUAGUUGUAGCCUCACCAUAAUUUACUUAACUAGUUUCUUAUUGUUGAGCAUUUGACCUAUUGUCAGUGUUUUGCUAUAAGAGAAAUGAAAGAAUCAGUGACUGAACUCUGAAUUUUCAGAUAUCAAAGAAUAUUUGUUAGGAAAGUAGAAAUUGGAUAGUUGGGAUGGUUAGGGAAGUGUGGUGGUAUACCUAGUGGUGGUUGUAUUUCUGAAUUAUUCUGUGGAUGUGGGUGUAGAUUGCAUUUGAUUAGUGUUUUUUCCUCUCCCCUUCAAAUCUUAGUUUUUUUUUUCCACUUCUUUAGUAAUAGCUUUUUGAAAAAGCAUAUUAUCAUUAGAUCAAAGGGAAGAAAUAUUUUUAAGUCUUUUGAUAAUAGUGCAAGUCACUUUUUGGAUAUUUUGCUUUCAUUGGUACCACAUGAGGGUGCUUGUUUCAAUGGUAGUUGUUACUUAAGAAAGAAGAGCAAGCAACAGAAAUGACCCCUAUACUAAAAUCUUGUGUGAAAUAUAGAGUUUGGACUAUUUUUUAAAAUAUUGAUCAGCCCUUCAUUUUAAUCCCUGCUGAGUUUUUUUUUUUUUUUUUGCCCCCAUUCUGUAAAACAGGAGAUUUGAUGAAGAGUGCUGCAGGAGAGUUUGCAGAUGAUCCCUGCUCUUCUGUGAAGCGAGGCAAUAUGGUUCGGGCAGCUCGAGCUUUGCUCUCUGCUGUUACCCGGCUGCUGAUUUUGGCUGAUAUGGCAGAUGUCUACAAACUACUUGUUCAGCUGAAAGUUGUAAGUAUGGGCCUAUGUUUGUAAUUUGUUCUUUGUGUAUCAUAGUGAAGCUGAUGGUGGCCAUUCUUAGUUCAUCAGUUCUUAGGUUUUAGUUUGGUUUUGAAGUUUAUCUAAAUGGACCAUGCAUGUUUUUGUUUAGUUUAUGCUUACUACUUUUUCAAGUAUAUAUGAUCUGGGCCCUCCUAUGAGCCAGUGUUGUCUUGAUUCUAAGGAAGAACUUGUAGCAAAGGUAUUGUUUAGACUUCUUUGCAGUACUGAUUAAACAUUUCCUUGCAUUGGUAGAAUUGAAAAACUAAGAUACAUUAAAUUGUACACUUUUAGAUAGAGACCAAUAUUACUAUAUGUCCUUUCUACCUUUUGUAAAGCAUCCAUGUAAUAGGAGGUCCCUAGCAGCUCAAGAGAUUUAACUUUGAAUUGCUUUUGAGUAGUUGUUAAAAGGAAUUAAAAAAUAUUCUCAGAUACCAUACCAUACAUAUCAUUAUCAAUAGACUUGUAAGUCAGAACUUUUGUUUUUUGGGGUUGUGUUUUAUAGGUAGAAGAUGGUAUCUUGAAACUGAGGAAUGCUGGCAAUGAACAAGACUUAGGAAUACAGUAUAAAGCCCUGAAACCUGAAGUUGAUAAGCUGAACAUUAUGGCAGCUAAAAGACAACAGGUACAGUCAUUAUUUGGGGAUAUUUUAAAAUUGUUUAUAUUUAGUGAGGAAAAAACCAUUUUGCCUACGUUUUCUGAUGGUACCAUUAUCUUGCUCUGCUAAUACAGUUUAAUUAAAAUAUUUAAUCUAAGGUAUCAGUUCAGUAUUGUGCUCUUAACAGAAGUAUAAUUAUAAUAAAGUUGUAUUCAUGUUAUUCUCUCAUUUUAAUUUUGUGAAAAUUUUAAGUAGUUUAUCAUUUUUAAUGAAGAUAUAUAUGGGGAGGUGAUUGGCCUUUGUUAUAUGUGUUCAAGUAUUAAUGUGAGUUUUAGUAGAAUUAGUAGAAUUUAGAUCUUUAGGAAACCUAAACAAGUUAAAACAUAUUAAAGUUAUCUCUACAUCUGAGACCCUCCCUGCUGCAUUAUCACUUUUAAAGUGGCUCUUAUAAUCAUUACUAGUAGUUUUUGUUGUGUGAGGCAUGUGGAUCAUUAUUCUCAUUUUUUUCAAGUUCCACAACCUGUUUGGUAUUUUUGCUGUUGGGGUCUUUGAAAUCCUUCCUCUGUCUUUUCUGUUGGAUACUUUGUAUUUUAGGUUUGUGUUCUGCAAGGAGGAUACAUGCAUUGCCAUCCAGCUCUUUUAUAACUCCCUAAGUACUGAUGAAACUUACUCUACUUCCCCGCCUCAAGGAUGGUGCUAAGGAUUGAACCCAGUGCCUUCUGUAUUCUAGACAAGUGUUCUACCACCAAGCCACACCCCCUACCCAGCAACUACUUUUCUUAUAUUAAAACAAUCUCUGAGAGGCUGGAGUUGUGGCUCAGAGGUAGAGUGCUUGCCUACCAUGUGUGGGGUGCUGGGUUUGCUUCUCAGCACCACGUAUAUAAAUAAGUAAAUAAAAUAAAGGUCUAUCAACAACUAAAACAUAUUUAAAAGAAAACAAUCUCUGAAAGGAUGAAUUGUUAUUAUUACCUAAUACUCUUAUCAGUUAGGAUAUCUUGUACUGUCUGUACAGGAAACCCAACUCUUAACUCCUUGAAUAGAGGAAGUGGGUAUUUUUUCACUGACAAUAGCCAACAGUAAAAUGAAUAAUUGAUAAAGAAAAUGUAGUAUAUACAUGGAUUAAUACUCUCCAUCAUAAAAAAGAACAAAACAGUGUCAUGUGCAUAGCAUAGUGUUAACAGGAGAUCAUUAUGCUAAGUGAAAUACACUAGGCACAGAAAGAUGAGUGCUGUAUGAUUUUACUCAUAAACAGAAUAAAGAAGAAAUAAUAUGAGGGAAACCCUAUUGACUUUAACUUGUUUUUUUUUUUUCCUCACUUAAAAAUCAACUUUCUUCUAAACCUAUUGCUUAGAAACCAAACUUAUCGCUUCCACUAAACAAUGUUCAUAAUGAAAGCAGUACUAAAGUUACCAUUUGUCCAUUUCCUAUGCACAAAUAUACACAAAGUACAUAUUUUAUUAAAAGUUGAAAAAUUGUAAUCGUUUUAUUUUUUUUUAAAUACACAGCAGCAGAAUGUAUUACAAUUCUUAUUACACAUAUAGAGCACAAUUUUUCAUAUCUUUGUAUAAAGUAGGUUCAUGCUGAUUCGUGUCUAUGUAUAUAUUUGGGUUUUUUUGUAUUACAAUUCUUAUUACACAUAUAUACAACAAUUUUUCAUAUCUCUGUAUAUAAAGUAGGUUGACACCUAAUUCUUGUCUUCAUAAAUGUACUUUGGAUAAUGAUGUCCACCACAUUCCAUCAUCCUUGCUAAUCCCCUACCUCCUCCCUUUCCCUCCCUCCUGUCUUCCCUAUCUAGAAUUCAUCUAUUCAUCCCAUAUUCCCCCUCCCUACCUCAUUUUGAGUCAGUCUCCUUAUAUCAGAGAAAACAUUUGGCAUUUGUUUUUUUGGGACUGGCUAACUUCAGUUAGCAUUAUCUUCUCCAACGCCAUCCAUUUACCUGCAAAUGCCAUGAUUUUAUUGCUGAGUAAAAUUCCAUUGUGUAUAUAUGCCACGUUUUUUUUUUUAACCAUUCAUCACUGAAGGGCAUCUAGGUUGUUUCCACAGUUUAGCUAUUGUAAAUUGUGCUGCUGUAAACAUUGAUGUGGCUGUGUCCCUGUAGUAUGCUAUUUUUAAGUCCUUUGGGUAUAGUCCGAGGAGAGGAAUAGCUGGGUCAAAUGGUGGUUCCAUUCCCAGAUUUCCAAGGAAUCUCCAUACUGCUUUCCAUAUUGGCUGCACCAAUUUGCAGUCCCACCAACAAUGUAUGAGUGUACCUUUUUCCCCACAUCCUCGCCAACACUUAUUGUUGUUUGUCUUCAUAAUAGCUGACAUUCUGACUGGAGUGAGAUGAUAUCUUAGAGUAGUUUUGAUUUGCAUUUCUCUGAUUGCUAGAGAUGAUGAGCAUUUUUUCAUAUAUUUGUUGAUUGAUUGUAUGUCCUCUUCUAAGAAGUAUCUGUUCAGCUCCUUGGUCCCUUUAUUGAUUGGGUUAUUUGUUAUUUCGGUGCUUAGCUUUUUAAGUUCUUUAUAUACCCUAGGGAUUAGUGCUCUAUCUGAUGUGUGAGGGGGAAAGAUUUGCUCCCAGGAUGUAGGUAGGCUGUCUGUUCACCUCACAGAUUGUUUUUUUGCUGAGAAAAUCUGGACAUUUUUUUCAACAUGUUAUCUUUAGUGUACCUGUUGCUAGAUGGGUGUAGAUGUUCUAAGUGUGAUAUUUGCAUAUAUCAAUGUGUCCGAUGAGAAUAAAAGAUUUUUUUUAUAUGUCUCUCUUUGUGCAAACAACCUAGAAGCCCUCAUAAACUCACCCUGAAUCUGAAAUGUGCACAUAUAUACAUACCUAUGCUGUUUUUUCCUUUGUAUAUUAUGUGUAUUAUAAUUUGUACAUAAUGGUGGAAUUUGUUGUUACACAUUCAUGCUUGCACACAAUAUAACAGUAUAUUUUGGCCUUGAUUGUUCCCCCAGCACUUACCCCCUCCUUCCUUGUCUCCCAACCCCAGUUGUUCUCCUCUACUCAUCUCCCUUUGAUUUUCCUAAGAUUCCUACCACCACCUUUUUAAAAUCUUUUCCCCCUCUAGUUUCCACAUAUGAGAGAAAACAUAUAACCCUUGACCUUAUGAGUUUGGCUUAUUUCAUGUAACAUAAUGGUCUCUAGUUCCAUCUGUUUUUGUGCAAAUUACACUUCAUUUUUCUUUAUGGCUGAAUAAAACUCCAUUGGGUAUAUAUGUCAAGUUUUCUUUAUCCAUUUAUCUGUUGAUGAACACCUAUACUAGUUCUCUAGUUUGGCUAUUAUGAAUUGUGAUGCUAUGAUGUAUCACUAAAGUAUGGUGACUUUAAUUCUUAGAAUAAGUAUUGAGGAAUGGUAUAGGUGGGUCAUAUAGUAGUUCCAUGCCUAGUCUUUUGAGGAACCUUUACACUGAUUUCCAUAGUGGUUGUACUAAUUUACAAUCCCACCACCAGUGUAAAGGUGUUUCUUUUUCUUCAUCAUUUAUUAUUGUUUGUAUUCUUGAUGACUGCUGUUCUGUCAGGUGAGAGAUGAAGUCUCAGUGUAGUUUUGAUUUACGUUUCCACAAUUGCUAAUGAUGAACAUUUUUUCAUGAUUUUUUUUUUUUUUGGCCAUUUGUAUUUCUUCUUUUGAGAAGUGUUUGUUUAAUUCGUUUACCCAUUUAUUAAUUAGGUUAUUUGAGUUUUUUUGUGUUUAGUUUUUUUUUUUUUAGUUCUUUAUAUAUAUUCUAGAUAUUAAUCCUCUGGCAACAUGCCCAACAGGCCUAUAUGUCCCUCAAUAUCCUGGUUUUUAUCAUUGUUCACCCUAUUUUCUGCCCUGGGAUCUACCAUGUCUGGAUGCAUCAAUGGGCUCCUUUUGCCCUGUUAUUCCUGGUUAGGUUUGGCCAGUGGGAGCAUAAGCAGGAGGUUAAAGGAGAUAGGAGAGUGAAGUUGGGGUGUUUUUCAUAGACCCCCUACCUGCUGGUGGCCCUGGGUAGAUCCAAAGUUCCUGGGUUCCUGCACCCUGGAUUCUGGUAACUGUUGCUGCUUCAUGUCCCUUCAGACUUAAGUGACCUAAUAGCCUUGUGGUUUUCCUAUACUUCAUGUGUAUUCCUAGUUCUUUUCUUGUGAAUUAAAAUUCUGUUCAUUUUAUCUUAAGGGCCCAGCUUGUUGGAAACUUCACUCUGGAUAUUUCCAUAUUCAGCUGCAUUUGGAUACUAUCCGCUAGUUUCCUUCAAUAACUGGUCAUGUUUUCUCACACUGUGUUUUCUAAUAGAAUUCUUUUUCUGCUGUAUGCUUCCAUUGGUCUGUGUUCGCUUGACUUUUUCUUUUCUCCCCAGAAAUGUUAUGUGAUAAUUUGCUUCCUAAUUGAGCCUUUCAUCUUUGUAGGCACUUUGUCCAGGAAAAGGGAGUAUUUCCUCAAGACUGUGUGGCUCUCUUAACUGCCCUAGUAUCAUUUAACAACAGCUACCUAUUAAAGAAAACCUCAUAAGGUCCACGUGCUUUCUGGAAUUUACCUUUUUUGGUUUUGGAUAUGGCAUGGUAGUCAUGAUGACAUUGUUGACAAUAAUAUUAGAAUAAAACAUUUUGUUAGAGUUAUUCAUUAGUAACUCUAAGCAAGUGUUUACUAUGUGCCAAGCACUGUUAUAAGGUAUCCCCCCCCCACACCCCUUGCAGUGCUUGGGAUUGAAGCUAAGGCCUCAUGCAUUCUAGGCAAGUGCUCUACCACUGAGCUACAUCCUCAGCCCUAUUACAAAUCCUUUAUAAACACAAACUGAAUGUAAUCUUUUUUUUUUAAUAUUUAUUUAUUUAUUUUUCGGUGGACACAACAUCUUUGUUUGUAUGUGGUGCUGAGGAUCGAACCCGGGCCGCACGCAUGCCAGGCGAGCGCGCUACCACUUGAGCCACAUCCCCAGCCCCCAUGAAUUUAAUCUUAAGAAAGUAGUAAAUAGGCAGAUACUAUAAUUAUUCACAUGUUAAUUUUUGUAAAUGAAGGAACUGUAACACACAGAGGUUCUGUAAUCUGGCAAGGUUUUUCACUUAGUAAGUAGUGGAUCUAGGAUUUGAUCCUAAGCUGUCUCACUUAAGAACAGGGAUUUUGUCUGUUUUAUUGCUCCUAGAAUCCCUAGUGCCUAGAACAUUGCCUAGACUUAGUAUUUCUUCUUUCUUUUUUUUUUUUUAAUUGUAGGCAUACACAAUACCUUUAUUUUAUUUGUUUAUAUGGGGUGCUGAGGAUUAAACCCAGUGCGUCACACAUGCUAGGUGAGCACUGCACUGCUGAACCACAACCCAGGCCCUAGUAUUUCUUAAUAAUUAUUUGUUUAACAAAUGUAUAAACAGACUACUUGCUAUACUGCAGAUCUAUCCUGGAGUGGGAUUCUAAGUGUGGCUCUAAUUUGUUACUUUCUUGGGCUAAAAUAUUGUUUGCUAACUAGAAGUGUUGCAUUUCUAUUAGCCUCUAGGCUCUACUUUGACUGUAAGGGUAUCUUAAUACAUUUUCUGUUGUGUCUGAAUACUACAUACUGGGUGAUUUACAAUGAAUAGAUGUUUAUUUAGCUGGUAGUUCUGGGGGCAGAGAAAUCCAAGAGCUUGGUCCCAGUUGAUUUGCUCAGCAUCUACUGAGGGCUUUCUUGAUGCAUUCUAACAUGGAAGAAGGUAUCUCUUAUCAAGAGAAAGCUUGGAUCUCUUUUUCUCUCCUAUUAAAACCCUCAUGACCUCAUUCAAUCCUGAUUACCUCUCAAAAGCUUCACCUGCAAAUAGCAUUAACAUAUGAUUUUGGAGAUUGUUUUCAACAUGUAAACUUUUGGAGGAAUACAUUCAAACCAUAGCAAAGUGUAAAGGUGAUGGCAAAGUUCAAAUUGAGCUAACAUUAACCUUGGUUUCUGUAAGGAGGACCAAUGCUGACUCAUGCUGUCAACUCUGGGUCUCCAGCAUGCUAGGAACUUAGUGUUUUAAUGUUCAUAUUUCAUUCACCCAUCUAAGGACAACUUAUUUGAUAUUUGGAAGAACGUAAUGCCUCUUCUUUCUAUAAACUCUGCUUUGCAUGGUUAUUUUUCCAAAAAUUUGAACAGGUAUAUUAUUUUGUACCUGUAAAUAUGAUCUUUUGAAUACAAGACGAGAUGUGAUCAAAUAUAUCUGUGGCUAUGAUUUUAUCUUGUUAAAUAGGGAAAUAAGAAGAAACUUUCACUUGGGUAGAAAUAAUAUUAUACUCUGAUGAGAAGAUAGCUUCUACUUCCUGGUCAUUGAAUGGACUGGAUUGUUAAUUUGAGUUCUUUCCUCUAUGUUUUCUGUUUGGCUAUUCCUGAGUCGGUUUGAAUCAUAACUGGAUUGGUGAAGUUGAGGAAUCAUGAAAGCUAAACUAGACCACAGGAUUCUAAUUUAUUUUUUGGGUACCAGAGAUUGAAACUCAGGGGCACUCAACCACGGAGCCAUAUCCCCAGCCCUAUUUUGUAUUUUAUUUAGAGACAGGAUCUCACUGAGUUGAUUAGCGCUUUCGUUAUUUAGUGACAGGGUCUCGCUGAGUUACUUAGGGCCUCUCAGAGUUGCUGAAUUGGCUUUGAACUUGCAGUCCUCCUACCUCAUCCUUCCAAGUUGCUGGAAUUAUAGGUGUGUACCACCACAGCCGGCCCAAGAACCUUUUUUUUUUUUUCCUCUUUGAGUAAUUUCCAGUAACAAUGGGAUACAGAAAUGCCUCCUUCUGGUCUUGCUUAUUGUCGAUAUCACUUAACUGUUGCUUUGCAUAUGUUCUCAGCCUACCCAGUAGAUACCAUCAAUGGUAAGGAUGCCAGAAACCUCAGAUUCUUUUGUUGGAUCAAUAAUGGGGUACAGGAAAUAGAAAAGGAUAUUUUUCACUUAAGACUAUAUCUAUUCAGAAUAUUAUAAUCAUGGAUUAAAAUAAUGGAGCAUAUGAACCUCAACUUUAUGAUUUAAUGACUUGUGUACUGCUGAAUUUUAUUGGGUAAGGAAAGUUUGGUUCUGUGUUUUAGGGUUCUGUGUCUUGUGUCUUAGUCUUUGGGUUAUCAAAGGGGAGAGGAGUUCUGUACUUGUGAGAAUAACUGGGUAUAUCCUCACCUAGGUGGUUUCGCAUAGUUCACAUAUAACUAUGUUAUUCUGCUUCAGAUUUCCCCAAACUCUUCUAUUUUUUUUUUAAACAUUUACUUUUUAGUUGUAGUUGGACACAAUGCCUUUAUUUUGUUUACUUAUUUUUAUGUGGUGCUAAGAAUCGAACCCAGGGCUUUGCACAUGCUAGGCGAGCACUCUACCGCUGAGCCACAACCCCAGCGCCCCCAAACUCUUCUAAUUGACUUGUGUAACUUAACAAAUCCUUAUUAUCUUACUUUGUUUAAAUGUGUGUCAAAAUGAUUUUUAUAUUUUGGUUUGCUGGAAUAGGUACACAUAUCUAUGUAUAAUUAUAAUCAAGAUGCUGAGUAGUAUUAUGUUUUUACUGUGCUAUGCUAGGUGCUUUACAUGCAUUAUCCCAUUUAUUCCCCCAAACAACAAAAGAGCUUCUGUUACUGCUCAUAUUUUACAGAGGGAGAAACUGAGCACAAAGUGUAAAAUAAGGUCACAAUAGCCAGGAAAAAGUAGACUAGGAUAUUUAAAUCCAGAUUUCUGUGAUUCUAAAGCCCAAACACAACAUAUUAACUCAUACUGGUUCCUUUGUGCUUAACUUUCAAGUCAGAUUGUUAAUGAAAAUAAUUCAAGUUAGAUUGUUAAUGAAAGUAAUGUGUCUGAUAGGUAGAACUCUUAACUUUACUGCCUGUACCAGCAAAUUUUCAUGUGACUCUAACCCACAUAAAGAAUGCUCCAUUUUCUUAUUUUACUCUUGUAGGAACUGAAAGAUGUGGGCCAUCGUGAUCAGAUGGCCGCAGCUAGAGGAAUCCUGCAGAAAAAUGUUCCGAUCCUCUAUACUGCAUCCCAGGCAUGCCUACAACAUCCGGAUGUCGCAGCCUAUAAGGCCAACCGGGAUUUGAUAUACAAGCAGCUUCAACAGGCAGUCACAGGCAUCUCCAAUGCAGCCCAAUCUACAGCAUCAGAUGAUGCCUCCCAGCAUCAGGGUGGAGGAGGAGGAGAAUUGGCAUAUGCUCUCAAUAACUUUGAUGUAAGUUACACUUGAGAGGAAACUUCAGACUCUCACCAGUAUGCAAAAGAUGACACUUAGAUUUGUGAUAUAAGUAGAAGAAUCAUCAGUCUACUUAAUCAUAACUUGAUUUAAAGCAUUUAUCUUUUUUCUUAGCUUGGAUUGGAUUUCGGGAUUCUUUUUUGCAACAAGUAUAUUUCCUAUGGGGUCAUUCUUCUUCUUUUUUUUUUUUUCUUCCUUUUUUUUGGUUCUGAGAAGUAAACCCAAGGGCUACAUCUCCAGCUUCCCCUCCCCCCACUUAAAAUUUUUUUUUAGUUGUUGAUGGACGUUUAUUUUAUUCAUUUAUUUAUAUGCGGUGCUGAGAAUCCAACCCAGUGCCUCACACAUGCUAGGCAAGUGCUCUGCCAAUGAGCUACAACCCCAGACCUCCAGCCCUUUUUAUUUUGAGAUAAGGUCUCACUAAGUUGCUGAGGGCCUCACUUAUUGAGGAAAGCCUCAAACUUGUGAUCCUCCUGCGUCAGCCUCCUCAGUCAUUAGGAUUAAGGAUGUGUUACACUGCACCCGGCUAUGAGAUCAUUCUUUUUUAUUUUUUAAUUUUCUUUUCAGAUGUUGAUGGACUUUUAUUUUAUUCAUUUAUUUAUAUGUGGUGCUGAGAAUUGAACGAAGUGCCUCACACAUGCUAGGCAAGCACUCUAUCAAUGAGCCCCAGUCCCAAGAUCAUUCUUUAUUGAGGAUAUGAAUCUAGUUCAUUUGAUCCAAGAUUUUGACCUUCUGGAAGAUUCAUGAAGAUAUUGGAAAUAGAGCAGCAAUGUGUGCAGAGGUUUUGUCCCCUAAGAGAUCAUGGUCUAGUGGGGUAUACAGAUAUAUCAUAGUGACUGCUGCCAUCUUAAUCUUAUUUGUCUGCCUAGAUGUACUUCUCAGUAACUUUAAUUUGAAUCAUGAACAUAAAAUUUAAUCAAGUGGAAGCAGAUUUUGAAAUUAGCAUAAUACCACAUAUUGUGUGUAUAUACAGCCCUGUGUAUAUGACAUUAACUUCUUUGGUGGGUUUUGUUUUUAAUUCCUACCCAUACUGCUUCAUGGCUUCCAGUAGAUGGCAGCAGUUUAAGAUUUCUUUUUUUAAAGGGUAUUUUGUUUUGUUUUAAACCCAAUUGGUGGGGUAAUUUUUCUUUUUUUUAAAAUUAAGGUAAAGGAAACCAGUGUCCUUUCAGAAUAGAAAUAUUCAGGUUAUAGAAUCAAUACAAGGGGAGUGUAUUUUGUUUUUAACAUUUUUUUCUUUGCCUUAAUGUUUUCUUUGUCUGAUCCUUUAGGCUUUGUCUUAUCCUUUAGGCUUGUGUAACUGAUCCUUGCUGGUGUGCAUGGUUGAUUUAGGAUGGUCUUUUCAUGAAGCGUGAAGGCAGUGUUAAGCCUAAAGACCAUGAUAUUAGAAUUGAAAUUUUACCCUGGACCCUUAAACAUGAAAUAAAAUACCCAUUUAUAAGGAACUCUUAGGCUGCACCUAUAAUUUACUGGAACUGUUGUUUUCUCCUCUUCCAGUUUGACAGUAUUAGGUAUUUAUCUCUUUCAAGUUAGUAGGGGUCACAUUUUACCCUAAAUUAUUAAGUAAUAUCUGUAAUAUAAUAGCAGAAACCACUUAAUUUCUUAGAAUCACCGUUUCUUCAUUUGUAAAUGAGGGUUUGUCCUAAAUGAUCUGAGGCUCAUUGUGGCUCCACGAUUGUAUUACAAUUCUAUGAUCAUCCAUUCUUCAUUUCUAUUGGCCAGAAAGUAUUUUGUAUUCAGUUUUUAAUCAGAGAAAUCCUGUUAUGCAAAUUUGGUAAGAAAAAUGGUUAAGUAAAAUGUGUGGAUUAAUAAUAAAUUUAAAGUAUUACAUGUUCAAUUUUAAAACUGAGGUUUCUUUGGAAGGAAAGGAAAAAAUAUUUACUCAUUUGAAAACAUCAAGCUUUUUGUAGGAAAAAAAUUGGCAUUUAAAUUGAAAUUAAUAAGGACAUAAUCCUUAUAAAGAAAAAUUAAACCCAAAGUAAUUUGCACAGAUGGUUACCAUUGUGAGUGUAAAUUGUAUCAAGUGGGGACAUAGAUGAUCGAACUUGCACCUGUAGCUUACUUGUAUUUAGACCACACUCACUGGCAAAACUGUGUUUAAGUGGAGUCAGGAGGGAAGGGGAGAUGACAACAAUUUGUUUUUAGUGGAGCAAUUAUACUUCUUGCUAUCUUAGUGUACUUGUGGUCUUUGAGGAGGAAAGUUUCUAAUUUAGACACAAUAGGAUACAUUUGAGACCAAAUUGUUUAUAAAUCUUGAUUAGAUGUAUAAGGAGAGAAGUAGAUGGAAAUUAAUUUUAAUAAAUGCAUUUCUUUCUGAAAUUUUGGUGACAGAAGUAAAUUUUGUUUUUAUUUUUAAAUAUUUUUGUGUAGAACAAUUUUGCUACUCAUGUAGCAGUUUUAUACUUUGAAUGUAAGAAAGAUAAAUUAUUUUCCUUAUAAUUCUUAUUUGAUAAUAUGAAUUACUAAUACAGACUGACCUAUAGCUGUUUAGAAAAAGUAGUGUGGACAUGAUACAGUUGUAUUUGCAUUUGUGGUAUACCUUACCCAGACUGCUUGGCUGGAUAGUGCCUUUUUUGAAAAGUGAUUUAUUAUAGACCAACUUAUAGGAUGGCCCUUUAGCUACCAAGAAGAAUAACUUUCUAUUAGGUAUUAGAAUUAAAUCUUGAUAUUCCUAAACACUUUCCCUUACCUUGAAUGAUAAAGGGAACAGAGAUGAGCAUUCAUAUUCAAUAAUACUUUCUUGACAGAAACAAAUCAUAGUGGACCCCUUGAGCUUCAGUGAAGAGCGCUUUAGGCCUUCCUUGGAGGAGCGCCUGGAAAGCAUCAUUAGUGGAGCUGCCCUGAUGGCUGACUCGUCCUGCACACGUGAUGACCGUCGUGAGCGGAUCGUGGCAGAGUGCAAUGCUGUCCGCCAGGCCCUGCAGGACCUGCUCUCAGAGUACAUGGGCAAUGUGAGUGUCAGAA
rnacentral:lncRNA from 1 species